GCAAUGUUCUUUUAGAUUUGGAAUACGAGGCUCAUGUUUCGGAUUUUGGGACAGCUCGGCUCUUGAUGCCUGACUCAACCAACUGGACCUCAUUUGCAGGCACCUUCGGAUACACAGCUCCAGGUACAUACUUGAUUUGAUUCUUAACAUAUAUAUAUGAAUCAAUUGCUAAAUUUCUGUUUAUAUGCAAUAAUGUUUUGGAGGCUCUCCAAAACAUUAUGACAUAUUAGAAGAACAAUACAGCCAGUACUAUGAAAAUGAAGGGCUACUUUUGGAUGCUUUAAUGGUUAUGUAUAAUAAAUUGUCAUAUUAGCAGUACAAUACAACCAGUACUAUGAAAAAAUGACCGAAUUUUUGCAGAGCUAGCUUACACAAUGAGAGUGAACAAGAAGUGCGAUGUCUACAGCUUUGGAGUGGUCACAAUGGAAGUAAUAACGGGAAUGCAUCCGGGUGAUCUCAUCUCAUCUCUUUCUCCAUCAGCAUUUUCCUCCUCAUCGUUCUCAGAAAUCAACCAGCAUACAUUGUUGAAGGAUGUGAUAGACCAACGUAUCCGACUUCCUGAAAAUCGAGUUGCAGAAGGUGUGGUCUACAUUAUCAAAAUAGCAUUUGCAUGCUUGCUUGCCAACCCCCAAUCUAGGCCAACCAUGCGACAAGUAGCUUUGGAGCUUAUAGCUCGAUGUCCUCCGCUGCCAAAGUCAUUCUCUGCAAUAACGUUGGAAGAUCUGAUGCCUCAAACAACUAUGACAAGCUGAGAAUUUUCCAAAAGAUUUUCUAUAAUUAAUAUGUGAUUGUUUCUACUUAUGUUACUUUCAAUUUUCGUAGCUUUGUUUGUUAUAAAUUAUUUCUCUGCUUUGUAUUUUGUUUCUUCAACGAUUAAUAUGUUUUAGUACAGUAUUAUUAUCAAUCAAAGUGAAUAAAGGCUCUCUGCUAUAAUGAGGACACCUGGGUUUCAAGAUUCUGUUUCAUCCCUUGUAAUAAAGGAAAUCUUCAAUUCAAUAUUGAGCUGAAAUGAAUAAACUAGCAUGAGAGGCUUUUAGAAGGAGAUAUACCAAGAAUUGCUGCACAUCCUAUGCAUCUGCACUUAAACUAUGAAUCCACACUGAUCAUGCUACAAAAACUUAAACUAUCAACUACACAGAGUUCUUCACAGUGAACUCUUGAAGAAUCCUCCGUGCAGCCUGGAUUACAAGGGGGUAUAUUCUUGUUUUGGUACAAAACCCCCAGCUAACAAAAUUUCCUUUGAAGCAAGCACUGAAACACUUGAGGCAAAAACACGAACUUUAUGACAGAUUUCAAAGUAGUAUGUUGAGUUUGGGCAAUUGAUCAAAGAACUUGACAUUCUAUACAGGAAAGAGAAGUUGUUAAAUGAAAACAGCUUUAUUUAACUAUAUGUUCCCUAAAAUAGUUCUCACUGUCAAAUAUAUCGGGAUUGGCUCGAAUGACAUGAUAUAAAGUUGAGACUUUAUGUGAAUAUGCAGUUUUUAUUUACUGUAAAAUCAAUUUUAAGUACCUUCUCAAUGUCUUGUAAUCCAGUUCAUGGACAAUCGAAGAAAGGAACCAGUAAGUUCAAAUUGCGUGAAUACAACUUGGUACCUGAUAAAAAAGCAAGGGGAAUGAAGAUUGAAUUCCAAGUAAUGCAAGCAGACUCUUACAGACUUUCAUGGAACAAUUAGAGACGAGAAUUUGAUUGAAUAUAGUUUCAGAUCAGUUAGGGAUCUCUUCAGUAUCUGAUGAUUUGGCAUAAAUGAAACAGCUGAAGAUGUCUAAUCACAUAAAAGCUCAAAAGUUUUUACCUUGGAAUUUAACGGUUGGAUCUUCAAAGAUACAAUCCUCAUCAUAAAUUGUUGACGUGAAAACCCCUGCUUUUAAUAAAUAAUAGAGCAUUAAUUAGCAUGGGCAACUGUAUGAGUAAUUUGGUGCUAAAGGAGUAAUUAUCUGGAUCUUCUAUUGAGAGUACGGUUGAGAUUUUCAUGGAAUCAUACCCAAUGCAAUCCCAAAACUCAUGCUUGAGAAUAAAAUGAAAACAAAACUGCAAUUUUGUUAAGCCUGAAUGAAAAAGAAAGUUCAAGCCAAAACCAGACAAGGCUACAAAGGAAGUGGCAGUAACCCAAAACAGGAAAGAAGAGUAAUAUCCAAAAAAAAAAGAGUCUACAACCCAAAAACAAAGACAAAAAAACAUGUAGGAACAAGAGAGAAGGUCAUUCAGCAGCAAGAAAAUGGUCUCUGGCAAGAUCUAAAUAGACAAACUGUUAUGGGAGAAAUACUUACGGUGCCUAUCUGUCUUGGAUUCAGCAGCAAGAAAAUGGUAUAAUGAGCCAUUUUUACAUAUUGCGCUCUGUUGUAAAACAUUGGGUUGUGUGUGCGGCAUUUAACAAGGCCUGCUCCAUGAGACAGAUUUUUCUACACGGGCCUUUAAGGCCCUUUGUUUUACACAGUUAGCCGCAGUCUAAGCUGAAAAAAAAAAAUUGCUUGAAACGCAGACAAAUGUGUAUCCCAAUGGGUGAAGUUGUAACCCACUAAUCAAACGCUUAGAAUCCAAUUUUCUUAAAGCCACUUUGUUUGUCUUUGAAAAUCAAUUGUUGGUAUUUUAAUAUUUUUAAAACAAAAACAGAAAUGAUUCUUAAGAAUCAAAAUUCUCGUUUUUAAUUUGCCAGUACCAUUAUUCCUUAUAUAUGCUCUUAUUAAUGACCAAUAAUUAGUCAAAUUUAAAGAAUUCAAUGAGUGAGGAAAACAUUAGAAAAAACAAAGGAAACGAUUGUCGGAUCUUAUAUUCAUAAGAUAAGUUUAUUUUGAAUUAAAUAUUUAUUUUGCUGUAUUUUUCAGUACUUGAAUGAGAAAAACUUGUUGAAAAAUAGUAUUAAAAAGAGAAAAUUGAUGAUUGGAACUGAUUUCAGUGACAAAAAAAUAUCAAUAUUGAUGUCAAGUUUAUUUUCAUCAAAAUAAAAAAAGGUUAAAAUUACAAAAUAUAUAUUUUUUUUAAAUAAUUGUAACAAAAUACAUAAUCUAAAUAUGUGUGCCAAACCAAAUUAACAAUUAAAGAUACAUAUAUUGAAUUCCUUGUCUUUUUUUUCAUCCUUCUUCAAUGUUGGGAUUUUUGUAUUUUUUAAUUUAAUCAUUCGGUUUAUUUUGAACCUGCAUCAUCAUGAUAUGCUUUAAUUUGAUUUAUAUAACAUCACCUCAUUUAAACAUCUUUACAUUUGCUAUUCAUUUGAUUUAUAAGUGAACCUACCAUUGCAAUAUAUAUAUAUCAAUCAACUUGCAAAUAGGUUGCACAAUUUUAAGGUCAUUGAAAGCUGACAUGAUCAUUAGCUUUAAAAUCCGUAAAAUUAGUUGAGAUGCACACAAGUUGACCUGAAUAUCUACAUUAACAAUAAUAAUAAUAAUAAAAAGAAUUCAUCAUGAAUCACACUAUGACCACAUCUAUAAAUUUAUUAAAAGGAAAUAUGAUCGACACAGAUAUAUAUAUAUAUCUGUGUCGAUCAUAUUUCGAUGCAUGAAUGAGUUUCUGUUUUCAAUAAUAUCUUUGUGUUUAUGUUGUUAAAGAGAAAUAUAAAACAAUUCUUGAAAUCUUAAAACGAUUCUCUGUUAAGCCCACAAAUUAGUUAAAUUCUUUGUUUCUUUACUUAUACAAUUAAAGAUAGAUAUACUGAAUUCUGUCUUUUUUCUUCAUCCUUCUUCAAUGUUAGGAUUUUUAUAUUUUUUUUGAAUUUGUCAUUCGGUUUAUUUUGAACCAAUAUUUGUAAUAUGUUUCAAAUAAAAUAUUCUCUGUUAGAGAAUAAUAUAAAUACUUUAAUUAACAACUUAAGUUAUUAGAUUGAGAUGAUUUUUUAACAUGGUAUCAGAGCCUUGAUGACCAAACGGUCACGAGUUCGACUCUCACCAUCCCUAUUUAUUUGAUAAAAAAUAAGCACAAGAUAAUAUGAACCUGUACAAGUUUCAAGUUCAAAAGAUUUUCAUACGAGAAAAUAUGUUAGAGAAUAAUAUAAAUCAUAUCUUGAGCUCAUAUUUAAUAACUUAAAUUAUUCAUUUGAAAUGGUUAUUUGACAUUCUCGUAUGAAUAUCUUUAACAUUUGCUAUUCAUUUGAUUUAUAUGACUUCCCGAGAACCCAAUGAGCACGAUAAACGUGUUUCUGUUGUCGGAUUGUCGGAUUUGAUAUUCAUAAGAUAAGUUCAUCAUGAAUCACACUUAACUGUAUACAUUAUGAUUUCAUCACAGAACGUUUUCCAUAAAUACUUUAUGAUUAUUAUCAAUAUCUCGAUGCAUGAAUGAGUUUCUGUUUUCAAUAAUAUCUCUGUGUUUAUGUUGCUAAAGAGAAAUAUAAAACAAUUCUUGAAAUCUUAAAACGAUUCUCUGUUAAGCCCACAGAUUAAUUCAAUUCGUUAAAUUCUUUGUUUCUCUACUUAUACAAUUAAAGAUAGAUAUACUGAAUUCUUUGUCUUUUUUCUCCAUCCUUCUUCAAUGUUGGGAUUUUUAUAUUUUUUUUUGAAUUUGUCAUUCGAUUUAUUUUGAACCCAUAUUUGUAAUAUGUUUCAAUUUGAUUCGUAAUAUGGUCUCGUAUGAACAUCUUUUAAUUAGCAUUUGCUAUUUUAUAUGACUUCCCAGUUCCCACACCGGAAUCUGUGGCUAAUGAAGGGGAGCAUACUAACUACUGAAUUUCCAAGUUCUUCAUGAUGCAUCUACUCUAUUAAUUAGCAAGUUCAAACCCAAUGAGCACGAUAAACGUGUUAUUGGUUGGUGAAGCUUUCAUGGCAUAUACAGAGAGGCCUCCAAUGCGACAGUCUGUGACAUUUCAUGACGGAUUCAUUGUAUAAGUAAAGAAGAAAAGAAAAGAAAAGACAGGUUGUCAAAUUCAGGAAUGUGAAAGCAAAGAAAACCACAAUAAAGCUGCACUAGAAAAAAAGGAAAGAGAAAAACCACAAUAAACGUGAUUGGCUAUGAUACGUUCCGUCCACUGGAGUAAAGAAAAACCGAAGAGAACAUGACUUCCCUGAGACCCCAUGGCGCAAUCUGGGGCCAAGGGAGUUUACUAACUGUUGCAUUUCCAUGUUCAUGAUGCAUCUACUCCAUGAGCAUGAUUAACAGGUUAUUGGCUGGUGAAGCUUUAAUGGCAUCAUGCUGUGGAUGUCCUAUGAAGCAAUUAACACGACAAGUUGUGAUAUUUCUUGACUGAUUCAACACUAGCUAGUGAUCUCUUCAACUUUGCUAAUUAAGCACAAAAACAACUUACAACAGAUCCACACAUAUCACAGGCAUCGGAAAUUUUAUACUGCCAAGAGAGUAACCAAUAAUAUCUUAUUAAUUAUUUUUUAGAUUUAUUUUAAAGAAAAAAUAGAUAUAAAUAGAAGAGAUAAAUAUUAAUCCUAAGUGUAGAUAUACAUGCAUAGAACAAUUUUCGAUCCACUGUCUUGAUAUGUCAUAAGACUAUUAUCCUUCUCUGACAUUAACAGCUACAUUCAAUAAUCACCAAUAGAUCCUUCACUACCACAAUCUUUAUAUUAACGACGGAUUUUUCUAUCGGUAUUUGCACUAUCAUUCCGUUGGUAAUUAAUUUACCAACGAAAUCACUGACGGAAAAGCUCUGUCGGUGAAUCUUUCGUUGGUAAUUUUUUGUCCGUUGGUAAUAAAAAAAUAUUAUUACCGAUGGAUUUACUGAUGAAAAAAACGUGCAAAAAAAAUUACCGGCUUUAUUCUGUCGGUAUUUCCCUCGGCAAAAUACCGUAUGUAAUUCCGUCGGUAAUUAUUUAAAAAUAUUUUUUAAAAAAUCUAUUUUAUAAAACUAUAAAAUAAUUAAAUUAAUAUAAAUCAACACUCUAUAAUACUCAAAAUGUUUGGAAAAAAGAAGAAGAAAAUAAACUCAAACAAAUUUGCAACAAAUAAAUAACACGAAAAAAUAAAUUCAACUAAAAACAUUCAUAUGAAAAAAAUUUAAAAAUCCUAUAAAUAAAUCAACAAAAAAUUGAUCUCAUAUAUAUAUAAAAAAAAUUCCUACAACAACAUUCAUACAAUUAUUAAGAUAAAAAACAAUUAAAAAUAAAAUAAAAAACAAAUAUAGUGAAAAAAAACACGAAAAAAGAAGAAAAAAGAAAAAUCUUACCUUAAUGUAGUUGCAAGUCAAGCUAAGAAGAGAAAAAAAAAUAAAUCCGUAAAGUAUACUAAUUAAAAAAAAACUAUGAAGAAAAAAGAAGAAAGGAGAAGAAGAUAUACCUGAGCAUGGAGGAGAAGAGAAGGAGUUGAGGAGAGAAGAGAAGAAAAAGAAAUGGAUAUUAAUGUUUUUUACAUAUGGAGAAGAAGAAGAAGAAGAAGACGAAGAAGAAGAAGAAAGGAGACGGGUAUGUUGUGAAAUUAGGGAUUCUAGGCUUUUAUUAUGGCGUUUUACCGACGGAUAAUUAAAUAUUAAUAUUUUUAAUCAUUCCGUCGGUGAUUCUGCCUGUAAUAUUUAAUUUAAAUUUUUAAUUUAACAAAAAUUUUCAAAAAUCGCCAAAUAUCACUGACGACUUUUCAAUCCAUCGGUGAUUCCACUUGUAAUAUUUAAUUUAAAAUUUUAAUUUAAUCUAAAUUUUUCAGAAAACCGCCAACUAACACCGACGACUUUUCAAUCCGUUGGUGAUUUUUUCUGUAAAAAACAGUAAUUAACAGUGCAAUUGGGAAGUGAAUAGUUCCAAAGCUCUUUGGAAAAUACCAACAGAAUUUUCUGUUGGUGAUUCUCUUUGUAAUUGACAUGAUAAACAAUGUUCAUAGUUUACCAACGAUUUUUCCGACGGAAUAAAUUCCGUCGGUAAUUCCGUUGGUAAAAAUGACACAUCAUCUUUUUUUUUACCUUGUUUUAAUUAUUUUUUUCCCACUGUAAUUCCCUCGGUAUAUACCGAGAGAAUAUUUUCAUCGGUAAAAUCCGUCAGACAUUUACCGACGAAAAUAUUCCCUCGGUAUUUCCGUUUGUAUUUAUCAAUUUUCUAGUAGUGCUUGUAGAAACCAAACGAAAUCAAUAGCAUGAACAGAAAUCAAAGAAACUAGAAAGAACAUAUGUACCAUCUCAAAACAAUUCAAUAAACAUGAAUAAAAAUCAAUAACAUAAUUAUGAAAUAAGGAUAAAUAAGUACUUGAAUAUGAAAGAAUUACAAUAAUUACGUUACUUCUAACAACUUAAUAAUGAAGAUGAUAUCUAUUGCUCUUGAAUCAAAUGUCAAAGUUUAGCUCAUAGCUGCUAGAAAAUUGACAAAAAUAGAGAAGAAAAGAAUGUUGCAGAGCUCCUAUUUUAGUAGUGUUCUACUCUAUUUAUUCUCUCCCUUGGCUGCUGAAUUUCUUCAGGAUUCUUAGGCUAAUUAGAAGUUCUUAUGCCUGCUUAAUUCUUUCCUUCUUUAUCUGAUCUUUAAGGUUGGUUAAAUCCCUUAGAAUUUUUAUUGAAAUCGGACUUUAUUGUUGUCACAACUCUGCUGUAAUAUAGACUUUGCUGCAACUUAGACUUUGUUUCUGACUUGGUUUUUUAUAAUAUCCGACCAUUCCAGCUAUAUUAUUUCAUUCAUGGACUGUUAUAGGAUUGAUUUACACCUUUCUUGGAUCCUACAACCCAUCAUUUCUAUGUCAGAAUCUCAGUCAUAGUGGGAUGCUUGACAUCGUUAGUUUUCUCAUCAGAUCAUAAAACCAAUCUCGUCCUUCAUAUUGCAUUUAGAUCAUGAUUUUAUCUAACUUGGUAUCCUUAAUGAAAGUUGUAGUCUUGAAGUGAAAAUGAUUUUAGGCUUUUGAAUUGUAUGAUUUUGAUGUCUGAGACUCAAGAUAUGCCUGUUUGAAUCUGUAGUGUGAAAGCAGAGAAUCCUGCAGCAAGUAGAAUUUCAUCUUGAUUUUGCAGGUCUUAUUAGAGUUCGAAACGAACUCGGAUUUCUUCCCAUAAUAACUUCUUGGAAAGCUUGAUAUGUGUACUUUAAUUUGACUCAGCACAUGCUUAUAUUAUGAAAUUAUAACAUAGUGAAACACCUAUCACAAGAAGAAAGGUCUGAAACAUAAAAUGUAGAAAUUCUUAUUUUUUAGCAAUUAAUUUACAAAGUCUCUUGGAGAUGUCAAACUCAUAAAAAUAAUUUCCAAUAAGCUCAAAAUACAUUAAAACACUUACUGUAAAAGAAAUAAAUUAAAACAUGUGUAUAUUUUGUACUUAUCAGGAAUUGAAAAUAAUCUAGUUGAGAUUGUUUACAAAGCCUCGACAAAUCAGCCACAAGUAGCAGCAGGGAAACAAGUUGUAUAUUGAGACACCUUAUCAUAAUCUAUAUUCAAUAAUCCAAGUGAGUAUACUAACUACAGAAAUCCCAACUUCAUGAUGCAUCAUGUCCACACUAUCUUAUCUUUAACUACAGAAAUCCCAACUUCAUGAUGCAUCAUUUGAAAAUUCAACCCUAACGAGCAUGAUAACAGUUUAUUGGUUGGUGAAGCUUUCAUUGCAUGAUCACGUAAAUGUACCAUGAAGUAACCCGAAGCAAUUAUACAGAGAGUCCACAUCUUACAAUGUGACAGUUUGUGACAAUUCAUGACGGAUUCAUUAAGCAAAGAAAAGCUGUUUCGGACCAUCCGACCACGAUACAAGGUUGAUUGCAAACGGACAUAAUUGCAAUCAAAUUCAUGAAAGUGAAAGCAAAGAAAACCACAAUAAUUAACACAUUAACUGUCGAAGAGGUAUUUAUGAUAAAUUUACGGGCUAUAUAAAUUGGAGAAUAAAGACAAGCAACAGAUUUCUGAUAUUGUGAACUUUUGAUUGGCUAUGACCCGUUCCGUCGACUAGACUAAAGAAAAAACAAAGAGAACAUGACUUCCUGAGACCCCAUGCAUGGCACAAUCUGGGGCCAAGGGAGUUUACUAGCUAUUGAAUUUCCAACUUCAUGAUGCAUCAUGUCCAUUCGUCCCAACGAACACGAUAAACAGGUUAGUGGUCAGUGAGGCUUUCAUGGAAUAAUGCUGGGGACGUACUAUAAGCAAUUAAUUAACACGACUAGUUGUGACAUUUCUUGAAUGAUGCAACACUAGUGAUGUAGUUUUUUAAAGAAAUAUUUCAUCCGGUAAGGUAAGGUUAUAAGAAUAAUUUUAUAUUAAUUUUUAAUAUAUUGUUUUGAGUGAAAAUUUUUAAAAUUUAAAAUUUAUACAUGUUUGCACUAUUUUAUUUUUAAUUUUAUUAAUUAGAAUAAAAAUAUUAAAAUUCAAACUCAUGAUUAUUCAGUCAUCAAAAUUCUAAUACAUCGUUCCAACAAAAACACUGAAAGCUACCAUGUAAACUUCUAAAAAUAAUUUUAUAUUACUUUCUAAUAUUACUUAACUUUACAAAGCAUGAAAACAACUUACAAUAGAUCCACCCAUGAUAUCACAGGCAUAGCUUGUUGGUUUAUAAAUUCUAGAAAGUAAUAAACUCGUGAAGAUUUCCUGAGUCAACGAGUCAAUGUACAGACAUUCAUGGUGUUACAAUCCCUUUUUUACCUCCAAUUUCUAUGCGUGUUUUCAAAAUUAUAUUUAAAAAAUAAAUUAGAUUUUUUAUAUUUAAUUUAAUUAUGUUGAUAAUGGAAAAAGAAAGGAAAAGGAGUUUAUGGUUCGAAAUUAGAGGAAAGAAAGAAAAAGAGACUACUGGACUAAAAAUAAUGGAUUGUAACACAAUAUUAUGAAAUGUUUUUUGUUUCAUUGUAAAAUAUAGAGAUGUGAUAUAAAAUGAUGCAGUAGAUAUGGAUUCUUGUAAUUUUAUAUUUAGUAGUGUUGGGGAAUCCGGCUCCCCCAUGCGCGGACCGGGGGUGUUCUGAUAUUUGCUCAACGGAGGGUAAAACACACUGACACAAUAUUUUACGUGGUUCGGCAAAUCCGCCUACAUCCACGGGAGAGAGUCAUUGUAUUAGAGAUAGAGAAAGGGUUACAAUAAAUACAUGUAGAGGAGGAGGAUUACAUCCACUCUACUCAACUCAUCAACUCUCAUUGCUGCUCUUGCAGCUGCUGCAAUGGCAGCAAGGCUGCUGCCAUUGCAGCUCUCUUUCUCUCCACUCUCUUGCACACACUCACGUUCUCUCUCUCAUUUUUCUCUCAAAUAUAAGCCUCCUUUAUAGGCAUUUCAUGGUCAACAUGGAGGGGCCAAUAGCCUUAAAGUAUGGCAUGAAUUGUGGCACAAUUCAUGCUUCCACUUGCUUAGUGGUGGGGUAUUGCCACAAAUGGCAAUAUCCUAACAAUCACCCCCUUUGCCAUUUGUGUGGGCAAUUGUCCUCUUGCUUCUUCAGCACAAGCUUGCAUUCUGCAGCUCUUCCAAGCUUCCAUUCUGAGAGCGUCUUCAACACAACAUUCCCCUUCGAGCGUAUCAACCAUGCUCGGUCCGGAAUGAUUUUUCAAGCCUUACACCAAGGCUUACAACACCCCCUCAAACAAAUAUUUCCAAGUGCGACAGUCAUUGAGUAUUUCAAUGUGAUCACAAGCUCACCACUCUUCCAAGAGUCUACUCAUCCAGGAGUUGCGCCUGCCCUCUGUUCCACCCUAGGAACCACGCCUUACUUCUCCGUGAGUCUCUCGCUCUUAGUCGUAAGAGUCCAGGUAGCUCUCCACCUUUAACCAUGGGGGCAGCCCAUAAAGGUUGAUCCAUAUCUGUCUUCAUACUCUGAGUAUUACAAUGCCAUUACCGAGCUCACCACCUUGACAAGAGUCAACUCGUUCUCGGAACCUGCGCAUGCCCUCUGCUCCUUCAUAGCAGUCGCGUCUUAAUGCUCCACAAGUCACACACUUAUUGUCCAAGGCAAAUGUCUUCCAGCUCAUUGAUCUUUAGCAUGGGGGCAAUAUCCAUGAAAGUCAAUCCUGCACUUGUCUCCAUACUCAUCAUAGCCACUUCACUGGCUAUCCAUCUGUCCACUCAUAUCCAGCCAUCAUAUUGGCUCUGGGGUUGUUCUGAACUUGGGCUCCUAUCAUGGCCCACACACCUUCUCCUUAGGUGUCUCCGCUCGUCGCCAUGCGGCGGUCUGAACUGGGGCUUCUAUCACGACCCUCACACCUUCUCUAAGGUGUCUUCGCCCGUUGUCAUAGGGCGGUCUGAUCCGGGGCUCCUUUCACGGCCCUCACACACCUUCUCUAAGGUGUCUUCACCUUUCAUAGGCGGUCGCAUCCUCCUUCAGCUGAGAUGCUUCAAAGUGGCUCCAAAAAUUCUCUACCACCAUGUGCACUUAUGAGAGAGAUUACUGCCACUGACUACAUAGAAAGAGAAAGUUGCGGUAUACUCCUCGCAAUCCUCCACCUCGAUUUCUAUGUUUGGAGCUUCUGUGCCUUUCUGCUUGACAGCUCCACCUACACCAACUCUCUUUGGUGUCUUCGCCUUUCAUCAUAGGCGGUUGCCUUGUAUCACAGGCAUUUGCACCCCCUCAAUUAGAUGCCUCUACAACAGCUCUCUUUCCAUCCUUGCAUGUAUUGGAAAGGUCUUCGCCUGUUGUCUUCAUUAAGAGCACAAGAGACUUCCUGUUGUACAAACUUUAACAGUCUCUGCUCUGAGCUUCAUCUGGGAACUCUUCUUCUCCUUGCACCUGUUGUCUCAUUACAGUAUCCCGUUGGAUCCUACGGGUACUCUGCACAAUCUCCGUGUGCCCUCGUGCAAUUUCUGUUCUCCAGAUUUUCCUCUAUUCCUUGCUUAUGUUUGACAGCAGCUCAUCCUGUCACAACACCUGUCUAAGUCAAAAUAGGGUGCCAAUCUUUAUCCCCUUGCUGUAUUCCUCUUCCAUUAUCAGGGUCUUCAUCAAUUCUCCCCUCGAGAAAUCACAGUCACCGAAUCUAACUUCUUUGGAGAAAUCACCACUUCAUCAGAUCCUUGAUCAUACGGAACCCAACUGUUCCCUUGUGCCGUCAUCCUGCUAGUCUUCAACCGUUUCAUUACAAACGGCUAUAUAUACGAAAAUAGUACCGUAUGGAUAAUCCUUCCACUAAGCAAGUUCCCAGGAAAGAUUGGAGGGGUCACACUGGUCCCGCUUAAAACCCAACCUCCUAGACAGAACUUCUUAGGCCAUAUCUAUCCAUCGUACUGUCGUUCCGUAUAUACAACCAUUUGCUAGCUUUGUUGCGGCUUUCCUUUACAAGUGAUCUGAAAUAUACUGGUUUAAUACAUCAUUUCUCAACAUCUGGCGAGACUACCAGUGCUUAGAUUCGUCAAGAUUGGUCUUCAUCAAUUUUCACUCUACACCUCUAAUUGUCCACAUGAUCGGGUGUCCAGAGUGUCCCAAUUUUACCUUCCCUCAAGGCAAUUCAAAUCUCCCCACUUAGCAGUUCAACACAUGUAAUUGGGUAAACAUGUGCACCUUCUUCUUCUUCAUCUCCAUCGACCACCAUGAUGACCUUCAGAUGCCUCCUGAUCGGGCAAUCUCUUUUGUUAAUUCACCACCGCCAUUUUUGGUCACAAAUUUCAACGAUCGGACCGUACCAUUGCAUCCGGAACGAUCAAAUUAGCUGGAAACAAGUCUGAAAUCGUCCAAAUCGCAUUUCAGACGGCUAAGAUUUGAUCAAAACAAUUCUGGCCUGAUGAACGACCCAGAUUCAAUCUCAGAUCCGGUUGCACAUAGACUCUGCUGCACAGAAUCUUAUCCCUCGGCUCGCGGCUCGGCUCGGCUCCAACACGGCUCGGCUCAACUCGGGUCGGCGUGGCUCGGCUUGCAGCUGGGUGACGUGGCAGGUGGGUCCCACAGUGCUGACGUGUCUGAUGACUGGACUCUGACAUGGCAUGCUGACUGUGCAUGAUGGCGUCAUGAUGACGUCAUCAUUAUCCGGGUCUGGCACGUGGGUCGGGUCGUCUGGUAUUCGGGUCGGGUCAGCCCAUCCGGGCGAAGAAGACGCGUGUGACGCGUGGCGCGCGUCUGUGCGUGUGGGCAGUAACCUCGCUGGCGCGUGAGGACGUUUCCGACGUCCGAUUUCGACGCGGUUUUCAACAGUGGCUUCGUCUCUUCCUCCUCUACACAGUGGUAUGGUCAAAACACAAUUUGGACAACUUUCAUUUUUGAGCAAAAUCAAACACCCCUUUAAACCAUGUGCUCUGAUACCAAUUGUUGGGGAAUCCGGCUCCCCCAUGCGCGGACCGGGGGUGUUCUGAUAUUUGCUCAACGGAGGGUAAAGCACACUGACACAAUAUUUUACGUGGUUCGGCAAAUCCGCCUACAUCCACGGGAGAGAGUCAUUGUAUUAGAGAUAGAGAAAGGGUUACAAUAAAUACAUGUAGAGGAGGAGGAUUACAUCCACUCUACUCAACUCAUCAACUCUCAUUGCUGCUCUUGCAGCUGCUGCAAUGGCAGCAAUGCUGCUGCCAUUGCAGCUCUCUUUCUCUCCACUCUCUUGCACACACUCACGUUCUCUCUCUCAUUUUUCUCUCAAAUAUAAGCCUCCUUUAUAGGCAUUUCAUGGUCAACAUGGAGGGGCCAAUAGCCUUAAAGUAUGGCAUGAAUUGUGGCACAAUUCAUGCUUCCACUUGCUUAGUGGUGGGGUAUUGCCACAAAUGGCAAUAUCCUAACAAGUAGGACUUGUAACACAAUUCUGGUGCGAAGACUUGGUUAUAAGGAGGGUGAGAAUUGAGGAGAAGGUAGAAAAGCUACAGAGAUAGGGUAGAUUCAAUACCACUGUUACAAAACCCAAAUUGGGCUAAUUUGAGUAACCCAUCCAGUGAAAUCCAAUCAAGAAACCGUUGAUUUUUUUUAAAAUAAUCCUUUUCAAAACAACUUUGUUUUUACUUAUUUUAUAAAAAUAAUUAGGUUAACCCUCUUAUGUCUUAUCCUGAAUUGACCUAACUUGAGCUUAAUCACAAUGAAAAUGAGCAUGAGCUGUGUGAAAGGAAUAAAAAUACUGACAUACUCACUAGCCAUUUGCAAAGGCAAAAUUGAGAAAAAUAUCAUGAUUAUUGAGUAAUGAAACAAUAUUAAACAAUUUACAAAGGCAUUUACAUAUCUGUAUUGUUCUUAUGUAAGUGAAUUUUUUUUUUUGAUGUAAACACAAUCAUAUUAAUAAAAAAAAACUCCCGAGAUGUUACACCUCGAGAGCUGCUUUCGUGCGCUAAAGGCAGUUAAAAAGUUACAUCAUGAAUCUUUGGAAAAGUCAAAUUUGGAACGAUGACCCACAAUAUGCAUAGUACUAGAAAAUUUCAGAAUGAAAGAUUCCUUUACCUUGCAAUUCCAAUUAAUUGAGAGAGCCCGCGAUUAAUUAAGUAAUCUCUUACAUUAUUUCUUCACCGAUUCAAUUAAAGGAGAGAAAACUGAUGCAAAUAAAAAACAAAAUAUUUUUUCAUAGUUAUUUUUAUUUAUUUUUAUUUAGUUUAAAAAUGAGCUACGGAUCUUGAACAAAUGAGCCAACAAUUAAGCAUUCUAGAUAUUAUAGGACUUGGAAUGAAUUUUCCUACGAUUUACCAAAUCUUCCACCCAAUAGAAACUGAUGUCACUGUUGUUGACAUAUGUCAAAUUCUGUAAAAUAAGAACAAAGAUGAAUACGAAAUUUCACAAUUAAAAAUUCCAACAAAUAUUCCAUUUAUUUUUUUCUAUAAAUACCUAUCAUUGGAGCCUAGGAUCUUUAUCUGCCAUAGCAAACCAUAUCCCUUAGACAUGAUGUCCUUACUACAGAAACCAUUCUUAAAGUUUCUCCGAGUCCUUUUUUUUCUCCUUCUAAUGUGCAUUCCUUCUUUCUUUGCCUUUCCUCCUAAUUUCUCUGCAACUUCAUUUGGUGCUGCCAAAUAUGUAGCUGCUGAAGGUAAUAAAGAAGUGGAGGCCCUCCUAAAAUGGAAAGCAAGUCUUGAUGACAACCACAGCCAAUCUGUCUUGUCUUCUUGGGUUGGUAGCAGCCCUUGCAGGUGGCUUGGAAUCACUUGUGACAAUUCUGAAAGUGUCGCGGAUUUCGGCCUUCCAAAUUUUGGUCUGAGAGGUACGCUUCAUAGUUUCAACUUCUCAUCCUUCCCCAAUCUUCUCACUCUCAAUCUCUCGAGCAAUUCACUCUACGGAACUAUUCCAUCCCACAUUAGUAACCUGACCAAAAUCACCAAUUUAGACUUGAGUGAUAAUCAUUUCACAGGAAAUAUUCCACAUGAGAUAGGAUUGUUAACAAGUCUUAACUUUCUCUACCUUCAUGAAAAUAAUAUCAUCGGUUUGAUCCCAGACUCUAUUGGAACCCUGAAACAACUAUCCAUUCUCUAUCUAUGGGGUAACAACCUCUUUGGCUUGAUACCUCCAGAGAUUGGAUCACUACAGUCUCUCAGUUCCCUUGACUUGUCAAGCAAUGAUUUAAUUGGUAGGAUCCCUUCUUCAAUUGGAAAUCUGAGAAACUUAUCAAUUCUUUCUCUUAGAGAUAACAAACUUUCUGGUUCCAUCCCUUCUUCUAUUGGAAAUCUGAGAAACUUAUCUAUUCUCAAAAUCUCGAUAAACAAACUUUCUAGUUCCAUUCCUUCUUUUCUUGGGAAUAUGAGUAAGCUUAUUGAGUUGCGCCUUAGUAAAAAUAAUCUCACCGGUUUGAUCCCAGUCUCUAUUGGAACUCUAAAACACCUAUCCGUUCUUCAUCUAGGGCAUAACAAACUCUCUGGUUCUAUUCCUUCUUCCAUUGGGAACAUGACUAUGCUCACUCAACUUGCUCUGCACAUGAAUAAUUUAUCUGCAUCUGUUCCUCGGGAAAUAGGACAUCUUGAAUCCCUUGUUGAAUUGAGUUUGCACACUAAUAAUCUCGAUGGUUCUCUACCCCCUGAGAUGAAUAAUCUCACACAUUUGAUGAAUUUGCAAUUGUCUUCAAACAAUUUCACUGGCCAUUUACCACGAGACUUGUGCCUUGGUGGGUUGCUUGUAAAUUUUUCAGCCGGCUACAAUCAUUUUUCUGGUCCAAUCCCUAAAAGCUUGCGAAAUUGUACUAGUCUUUUUAGAUUUAGGCUUGACUGGAACCAAUUGACAGGGAAUAUUUCUGAAGAUUUUGGCCUCUACCCAAACUUGAACUAUGUGGACCUAAGUCACAAUAAUUUGUAUGGUGAGCUUACGUGGAAAUGGAGAGGUUUUCACAACUUGGUGAGCCUAAAAUUGUCAAACAAUAAUAUCUCCGGUGAGAUACCAUCAGAGCUUGGAGAGGCUACUGGGCUACACAUGAUUGAUCUCUCGUCAAAUCUCCUAAAGGGGACAAUUCCAAAAGAAUUGGGGCAGUUGAAGGCGUUGUUCAACCUUACUCUUCAUAACAACCAUCUUUUUGGUGUCAUUCCCUUUGAAAUCCAAAUGCUAUCUCAACUUCAAUCCCUUAAUUUAGCUUCUAAUAAUCUUGGUGGAUCAAUCCCAAAACAACUGGGAGAGUGCUUAAAUUUAUUACAGUUGGACUUGAGUCAUAAUAAGUUCAUAGGGAGCAUCCCAUCUGAGAUAGGCUUCCUGCAUUUUCUUGGAAAUCUAGAUCUCAGUGGGAAUCUUCUGGCAGGAGAGAUACCAUCACAAAUUGGGCAAUUGAAUCAGUUAGAAACGAUGAACCUCUCUCACAACAAACUUUCCGGUUUGAUUCCAACUGCUUUUGUAGAUUUGGUGAGCUUGACAACUGUAGACAUCUCCUACAAUGAACUAGAGGGCCCUCUUCCCAAAAUCAAAGCCUUCAUUGAAGCUCCAUUUGAAGCUUUUAUAAAUAAUAGUGGUCUCUGUGGAAAUGCCAGUGGUCUAAAGCCUUGUACUCUUCUUACAAGCAGGAGAAAGAGCAACAAAAUUGUCAUUUUGAUUCUUUUUCCUCUCCUGGGCAGUCUACUUCUACUACUUAUCAUGGUUGGGUGUUUAUACUUUCACCACCGAACAAGUAGAGAAAGAAUCUCCUGUUUAGGAGAGCGACAAAGUCCACACAGUUUUGUAGUAUGGGGCCAUGAGGAAGAGAUCCUACAUGAAACUAUCAUCCAGGCCACUAAUAAUUUCAACUUCAAUAACUGCAUUGGGAAAGGGGGAAAUGGAAUUGUUUAUCGAGCCAUGUUGCCAACAGGUCAGGUGGUUGCCGUGAAGAAACUUCACCCAUCAAGAGAGGGCGAGCUUAUGGAUUUGAAAACUUUUAGGAAUGAGAUUCGCAUGUUAAUAGAUAUUCGACAUCGGAAUAUUGUGAAGUUAUAUGGAUUUUGUUCAUUAAUAGAGCACUCCUUUUUAGUUUAUGAGUUCAUAGAAAGGGGAAGUUUGAAGAUGAAUUUAUCUAGCGAAGAACAGGCAAUGGACUUGGAUUGGAAUAGAAGGCUUAAUGUUGUUAAAGGAGUGGCCAAUGCAUUAUCCUAUUUGCACCAUGAUUGCUCGCCUCCAAUCAUUCAUCGAGACAUUUCCAGCAGCAAUGUUCUUUUAGAUUUGGAAUACGAGGCUCAUGUUUCGGAUUUUGGGACAGCUCGGCUCCUGAUGCCUGACUCGACCAACUGGACCUCAUUUGCUGGCACCUUCGGAUACAUAGCUCCAGGUACAUACUUGAUUUCAUUCUUAAUAUAUAUAUAUAAGCAGAACAAUACUACCAGUACUAUGAAAAUGGAGGGAUACUUUUGGAUGCUCUAAAGGUUAUGUAUAAUAAAUUGUCAUAUCAGCAGUACGGUACAGCCAGUACUAUGAAAAAAUGACCAGAAUUUUUGCAGAGCUAGCUUACACAAUGAGAGUGAACGAGAAGUGCGAUGUCUACAGCUUUGGAGUGCUCACAAUGGAAGUAAUAAUGGGAAUGCAUCCGGGUGAUCUCAUCUCAUCUCUUUCUGCAUCAGCAUUUUCGUCCUCGUCGUGCUCACAAAUCAACCAGCAUGCAUUGUUGAAGGAUGUGAUAGACCAACGUAUCCCACUUCCUGAAAAUCGAGUUGCAGAAGGUGUGGUCUCCAUUAUCAAAAUAGCAUUUGCAUGCUUGCUUGCCAAUCCCCAAUCUAGGCCAACCAUGCGACAAGUAGCUUCGGAGCUCAUAGCUCGAUGGCCUCCGCUGCCAAAGUCAUUCUCCGCAAUAACGUUGGAAGAUCUUAUGCCUCAAACAACUGUGACAGGCUGAGAAUUUUCCAAAAGAUUUUUUAUAAUUAGUAUGUGAUUGUUUCGACUUAUGUACUUUUGUUUGUUAUAAAUUAUUUCUCUGCUUUGUAUUUUGUUUCUUCAACGAUUAAUAUGUUUUAGUACAGUAUUAUUAUCAAUCAAAGUAAAUAAAGGCUCUUUGCUAUAAUGAGGAGACCUGGGUUUCAAGAUCCUGUUUCAUCCCUUGUAAUAAAGGAAAUCUUCAAUUCAAUAUCAAGCUGAAAUGAAUAAACAUGUAUAAUUUGUAAGCACUAGCAUGAGAAGCUGCUAGAAGGAGAUAUACCAAGAAUUGCUGCACAUCCUAUGCAUCUGCACUUAAACUAUGAAUCCACAUUGAUCAUGCUACAAAAACUUAAACUAUCAACUACACAGAGUUCUCCACAUUGAACUCCUGAAGAAUCCUCCAUGCAGCCUCGAUGAUUUAUAAUUCCUUUUAAGCCAAAUUUUAAGUGUCCUCAAUUAUAUCCAGAAAUUUACUAAUAAUUCAAUAAAUCAUUGUCUGCAAUAAAACGAUUUAACUAAAAAUGGAAACAUAAUAAAUUGUCAUAGGACUACAAUAGCAAACUGUCAAAAUGCAUUUGCCUAAAAAAAAGAGAGUGAAGAACCGAUCCGGCUGAAGGGAGUGAAACCAAGGGGGUAUAUUCUUGUGUUGCUACAAAACCCUCAGCUAACAAAAUUUCCUUCAAAGUAAGCACUGAAACACUUGAGGCAAAACACGAACUUUAUGACAGAUUUCAAAGUAGUAUGUUGAGUUUGGGCAAUUGAUCAAAGAACUUGAUAUUCUAUAUAUACAGGAAAGAGAAGUUCUUAAAUAAAAACAGCUUUAUCCAGCCAGUUCUCAAUCACUACACCAAAGUUCCCAAACUAUGCUGUUUGGACUAUUAGCUGGGGUGAUGAUUUAAAUAUAUGUUUCCUAAAAUAGUUCUCACUGUCAAAUAUAUCAGGAUUGACUCGAAUAACCUGAUAUAAAGUUGAGACUUUAUGUGAAUAUGCAGUUUUUAUUUACUGUGAAACCAAUUUUAAGUUUAUAGAGAUCGUUUACCUUCUCAAUGUUUUGUAAUCCAAUUGAUGGACAAUCGAAGAAAGGAACCAGCAAUUUCAAAUUGCGUGAAUACAACUUAGUACCUGAUCAAAAAGCAAGGGGAAUGAAGAUUGAAUUCCAAGUAAUGCAAGCGGACUCUUAUAGACUUCAUCAACGAGGUAGCACAUCAUGGAACAAUUAGAGACGAGAAUUUGAUUGAAUAUAGUUUCAGAUCAGUUAGGGAACUUCUCAGUAUCUGAUGAGUUGGCAUAAAUGAAACUGCUGAAGAUGUAUAAUCACAUAAAAGCUCAAAGGUUUUUACCUUGGAAUUUAAUAGUUGGAUCUUCAAAGAUUCAAUCUUCAUCAUAAAUCGCUGACGUGUGUUAAUGGUAAUAAGACAGAUACUCAUGGAAACAAUUCAACUGCAGCUGUAAGCCAGCAACGUGGAAACCAACAUGGAAACGAAUCAGCCCUCAUGGAAACAAAUCAACUACAGCAGUAAGCCAGCAACAUGGAAACAAAUCAGACAGAUAAGAAAGAGACGUUGGCUAAUUAGAAUCACCAGCAACAAUGAAAACAAACCAACUCUCAUGGUAACAAAACACAAACAGAAAGAGAUGUUGGCUUAUUAUGGAAAUAAAUCAACAGCAGCAGCAAUGAAGUUUAUGACAGAAACCAGAAACAGAAAGAGACGUUGGAUUGUUAUGGAAACAGAUCAGCUAAGAAUUAGGCAAGUCAAUGUAUCCAAAUUAAGCAACUUGUAAUGUUACAAAAAACAGCAGCUCGUAUAGAAUAGUAAGUCGCAUAUUCAUGUUAAUAUUCAAAGAAACAGAGAAACCUUUCUUUCAUUGAAACAUUCUUAUUUUUCUCCAAAUUUUCGCUUGGUAUCAGAGCCUGUGUGAAUAUACAUCUUAGCAAAACCACACAACAUGUCAACUCUGUCACUUAAUGUUGGUAAUUUCAUUACCCUCAAGCUCAGCCCCACAAAUUAUCCACUAUGAAGAGAACAAGCCUUAGCUCUUGCAGAAAGUCAAGACUUGGUUGAUCAUCUCAUCAAUGAAGAUUCAAUCCCAAACAAAUAUAUUGUACCAGAUUCUACCACCACCAUAGAUUCUUCACCAAGACUAACAGAAGAAUAUAUUGUCUGGAGGAAGGCAGAUCGACUACUUCAUGGCUGGUUGAUUGGUACUCUUUUAGAACAUACUUUAGGCCUUGCAGUAGGCCUAGAUACAGCCUUUGCUGUCUGGAGUGCUCUAAAGAAUGAAUAUGCAGAAGACUCCCAAGAACGAGAAUUCACCCUCAGACAACAAGUCACCUAUUUUCGCAAAGAAGAUGACAGAACCUUUGGAGAACACAUUCGAAUCUUUAAAGGACUAUGCGAUGACCUUGCAGCUAUUGGGAAACCAAUUUCAGACAAAGAAAAAAUCUUUUGCCUCCUCACAAGUCUCGGCCCUCAAUAUGAAACCUUCACUACCACAAUGCUGAAACCACCAAGACCUUCUUACCCGGAGUUGGUCUCUCAAUUGCAGAGCUUAGACCAAAGAAGAAACUGGUUCACCAAUCAGACAAAUAACUCAUUCACUCCUCAGCUGGCAUUCUACGGGCAAAAGCACCAGCGCCCUCAACAUCAUUUUUCAGGAAACCAUGUCAGCAGACAAAGUUUUAUAUCUACUGGGAGAGGAUUUCAUGCACAACAACCUAAAGAUAAAACUCAUACUUACACUGCCAGACCCACUUCAGAUUCAAAACAGAAACGACCUCCUCUAUCUGGAGAGCAUCACAUGACUCCUGCAGAACGUGAGCUAUACCGAGAAGAAACCUGCCAGUACUGUGGUGUACCAGGUCAUAUUGCAAAGAUAUGCUGGUGGGUGCCUAAACGAUCAAAUCAACACGGAGACCUACCACAAGCUUUGGCUGCUCUCACCUUGGACAAUACUAUCACUGAAAUGGAAUGGAUCUCUAAUAUAGGAGCUUCCAACCACAUGACAGGUAAUCCAGGUAUGUUAAAAAAUAUUCACAAUCACUAUGGUUCAGACUCUGUUCUUAUUGAUGACGGUUCUUCUAUAUCAAUACAUGGUAUCAGAGAUUCCUCCAUCACACAGAAAAAUAAAAUACUGCCACUUAAUGAUGUAUUGUUAGUACCCGACUUGAAAAAAAAUUUACUCUCUGUAAGUCAGUUAACAUCCCAAUUUCCUGUUAAUUGUGAAUUCUCUGAUGUUGAUUUCUGUAUUAAGGAACGACAGACAGGACAACCCGUGAUCACAGGAUGGCGUAAGGGUGACCUCUAUGCUCUAUCCACCAUGCCUGAGCUCUACUUUUCUAAUCGUUUCAGAUCAGGACCAGCAGAUAUCUGGCAUCAACGCCUAGGACAUCUGCAUUUUUCUACUUUACAAUUAUUGCACAAUAAAAGUUUGAUAGAUGUUAAAGGAACCACAAAAUAUGAACAUGUUUGUGACAGUUGUCAAUUUGGAAAACUUAGUCGAUUACCUUUUUUUCGUUCUGAACAUUCUAGUUCUGGUAUUUUUGAAAAAAUCCAUUGUGAUUUAUGGGGACCUGCUCCUGUUUUAUCAAUAGGAAAGUUCAUAUAUUAUGCGUGUUUAGUAGAUGAUUUUUCUAAAUACACUUGGAUAAUCCCAUUACUACACAAGUCUGACUUUGUUGAUGCUUAUUUUGCCUUUGAGCAUUAUGUUACUUGACAAUUUAACAAGCAUAUCAAGGUCUUUCACUUUGACGGAGGAGGAGAAUUCAUAAAUUCCAAACUAUCAUCACACUUCCUCUCAACAGGAGUGAUUCAUCAAAUAUCAUGUCCUUAUACACCUGAACAAAAAGGUAUAGUAGAAAGAAGACAUCGAGUAAUACGAGAACUAGGUAUGACCAUGCUAUUUCAUAGUGGUGUUCCUUUAUCUUUAUGGGUUGAAGCUUUCACUACUGUUGUUUAUCUUAUGAAUAGAUUGCCUUCUUCAGCACUUAAAUUUGAAUCUCCAUAUUUCAUGUUACAUGGUAAUCAUCCUACAUACUCAUCUCUUAGAGUCUUUGGGUCUAAAUGCUUUCCCUACACAUGGGAUACAAAACAAAAUAAAUUUGACCCAAAAACAGUUCUAUGCAUUUUUGUAGGAUAUAGUGAUAAACAUAAAGAAUACAAAUGUUUUCACCCUUCCAGUAAAAAAAUGAUUAUUUCUCGUCAUGUAGUCUUCGAUGAGUCAUUUUUUCCUUAUAAGCAAAAAAUUCAGAACUACAUCACUCCGUCUCUUACACAUGUUAUGAGCAUUUUUUAUUCAUGGUUGCCACCUACUGUCUCUAACUCUGUUGCAGACAUGCAACCCCCAAUGUCCACUCCACCAUGCUCAAGCUCAUCACUAAACACUCUACCAUUUUCUCUUAAUUUACCUGAUGUUUAUGCAGAACAACAUGCUAGUGCUGUUGGAAUUGCAGAACACCACAAUGCCGAUGGAUUGGCAGAACAAGUCACUAUACCAUCUUGUCUCAAUUUACAUGAUGAUGUUAUUACUAAUACAAUUGCAGAACAACAGGAUAGUGUUGAUGCAGUAGCCAAAACACAACAAGAAGAACACAACCAUGCUGUUGGAAUGGGAGAACACAGCAAUGGCGUUGGAAUGUUAGAAAAAGUAAUUGUACCAUCUUCUCUUAAUUUACAUGAUGAUUAUGUUAUCACUAAUACAGUUGCUGAAACAGUAGCCGAUACACAACAGGAAGAACACAACAAUGUUGUUGGAAUGGCAGAGCAGUACCUUAGAACUGAUAAUGUAACUGAAAUACAAUUGGUAGAAUCUGACCAUGAAGAUGAAAUGCAUCGACAACACCUCUCUCACUCACAAUCCAAUCCUGCUUCUCUGGAAUCAGAUUUGCAGCUUGUUCAUUCUCCGUGUGCAACCUCUCCUUCACAUACCAUGGUUACCAGAUCACAAAGAGGCAUCCUUAAGCCUAAUCCAAAAUAUGCCUUAAUAUCCUCUAGGACUUCAGCAACCAUUCCAUGUGAGCCUUCUAACUUUCGGUCUGCGUUAGCUCACCCUGGCUGGAAAGCUGCAAUGGACGAGGAACUUGAAGCUCUCCAUAGAAAUCAGACUUGGGAACUUGUCCCUCGCACACCUGCCAUGCAUGUUAUUGGCUCUAAAUGGGUUCUAAAAACAAAACUCAAACCUGAUGGUUCAUUAGACCGCUUGAAAGCUCGAUUAGUAGCAAAGGGGUAUCACCAAGUUGAUGGAUUGGACUAUACUGAGACUUACUCUCCACUUAUCAAACCAGAAACUAUUCGUAUGGUUCUCUCUAUAGCACUAGUUAACAAAUGGUCCAUAUGUCAACUUGACGUGAAAAAUGCCUUCCUGCAUGGUUUUGUUUCAGAAGACAUAUAUAUGGAACAACCCCCAGGAACAGUUGAUCCACGAUACCCAUCACAUGUGUGUAAGCUCAAAAAGGCUCUUUAUGGUCUCAAACAAGCACCCCGUGCCUGGUUUGAUCGGUUCAGUAUCUUCCUUCUUAAAUAUGGGUUUUUUUGUAGUCUUGCAGAUCCAUCACUUUUUAUCUUUCACUCUAACUCUGAUACUUUAAUCCUUCUUCUUUAUGUUGAUGAUAUACUCCUCACAGGAUCCUCUGUUCCUCUAGUUAUGCACCUGAUUCAACUGUUGAGCUCAGAGUUUGCAAUGAAAGAUUUAGGACCCAUUCAUCAUUUUCUUGGCAUUGAAAUUACUCACACAUUUGAAGGACUCCAUCUCUCUCAAUCACACUAUGCGUUGACAAUCCUGGAACGAGCUGGUAUGGUGGACUGUAAACCAAUGAGCACACCGCUUGAAGCCAAGACUAAAACGAUAGCAACUGAUAUGCUAUUGCAAGAUCCACAGUUUUUUCGUGGGUUUGUUGGUGCUUUACAAUAUCUAACACUCACAAGACCUGAUAUCUCUUACAGUGUCAAUUUUAUCUCUUAAUUCAUGCAUGCUCUAAUUGUUAUACAUUUCAAAAUGGUUCAUUGUAUUUUAAGAGAUGUCAAAGGCUUCUACACUUGAUCUUUGUGCUUUCUCAUAUGCAGAUUGGGGAGGUUGCUCUACAACAAGACGCUCCACAACUGGAUACUGCACAUUCCUUGGUAGCAAUCUCAUUUCCUGGUGUGCAAAGAAACAACCCACUGUCUCUCGUUCCAGCACCGAGGCAGAAUAUAGAGCCAUGGCUAACACAACGGCAGAGCUUACAUGGCUAACCUUCAUUCUACAAGAUCUUCACAUAUCACCUUCUUCACCACCUAUCCUCUACUGUGACAAUCUCAGUGCCUUACACAUGACUGUCAAUCCUGUGUUCCACGCUCGUAGCAAACAUAUUGAAUUGGAUUACCACUUUGUGCGUGAACAUGUUGCCCUUGGUCUUCUCAUCACUCAGCACAUCUCCACCCAUGAACAAAUAGCUGACAUCUUCACCAAACCCAUGUCAAAAGGUGCAUUGGCUUACUUCAAAGACAAACUAUGCCUCCGACUCCGACCUAGUUUGAGGGAGGAUGUUAAUGGUAAUAAGACAGAUGCUCAUGGAAACAAUUCAACUGUAGCUGUAAGCCAGCAACGUGGAAACCAACAUGGAAACGAAUCAGCCCUCAUGGAAACAAAUCAACUAUAGCAGUAAGCCAGCAACAUGGAAACAAAUCAGACAGAUAAGAAAGAGACGUUGGCUAAUUAGAAUCACCAGCAACAAUGGAAACAAACCAACUUUCAUGGUAACAAAACACAAACAGAAAGAGACGUUGGCUUAUUAUGGAAAUAAAUCAACAGCAGCAGCAAUGAAGUUUAUGACAGAAACCAGAAACAGAAAGAGACGUUGGAUUGUUAUGGAAACAGAUCAGCUAAGAAUUAGGCAAGUCAAUGUAUCCAAAUUAAGCAACUUGUAAUGUUACGAAAAACAGCAGCUCGUAUAGAAUAGUAAGUCGCAUAUUCACGUUAAUAUUCAAAGAAACAGAGAAACCUUUCUUCCAUUGAAACAUUUUUAUUUUUCUCCAAAUUUCCGCUACGUGAAAACCCCUAAUUUUAACUAUCUGGAUCUUCAAUUGAGAGUAGGGUUGACAUUUUCAUGGAAUCAUAUCCAACGCAAUCCCAAAACUUAUGCUUGAGAAUAAAAUGCAAACAAAACUGAGGUUUUGUUUUUUCUUUUCUAUUCCAUUUUUUAUGAACAAGGUGCAAUUUUCUAGUUCAAGCCAAAACCAGACAAGGCCACAAAGGAAGUGGCGGUAACCCAAAACAGGAAAGAAGAGUAAUAUCCAAAACCAAAAAGUCUACAGCCCACAAACAAAGACACAAAACAUCCCAAAACAUCUAGCAGCUAGAAAAUGGUCUGUGGCAAGAUCUAAAUAGACAAACUGUCAAGAACCUUAUCCACUUUCCAUCUCUCAAAAAACAAACUCUCUGGAACCAUUCCUUUUAUUGGGAACAUGACUAAGCUCAUUGACUUGCGUUUUAGUAAAAAUAAUCUCACCGAUUUGAUUCCAGCUUUUAUUGGAACUUUGAAACACCUAUCUGUUCUUUAUCUAGGAGGUAACAAACUCUCUGGUUUCAUUCCUUCUUCUAUUGAGAACAUGACUAUGCUCACUAAACUUGAUCUGGGCAUGAAUAAUUUAUCUGGAUCUGUUCCUCGGGAAAUAGGACAACUCGAAUCCCUUGUUGUAUUGAUAUUGUCCUUCAAUAAUCUCAAUGGUUCUCUGCCCCCCGAGAUGAAUAAUCUCACACAUUUGAUGAGUUUGCAAAUGUUUUCAAACAAUUUCACUGGCCAUUUACCACAAGACUUGUGCCUUGGUGGGCUACUUGUAAAUUUUACAGCCGCCUACAAUCAUUUUUCUGGCCCAAUCCCUAAAAGCUUGCGAAAUUGUACUAGUGUAUUUAGAGUUAGGUUUGAAUGGAACCAAUUGACGGGGAAUAUUUCUGAAGAUUUUGGCCUCUACCCAAGCCUGAACUAUGUGGACAAUGAUUUGUCUGGUGAGCUUACAUGGAAAUGGGGAGGUUUUCACAACUUGGCGAGCCUAAAAUUGUCAAAUAAUAAUAUCACCGGUGAGAUACCAUCAGAGCUUGGAGAGGCCACUGGUCUACAACUGAUUAAUCUCUCGUCAAAUCUCCUGAAGGGGACAAUUCCAAAAGAAUUGGUGCAGUUGAAGGCGUUGUACAACCUUACUCUUCAUAACAACCAUCUUUUUGGUGUCCUACCCGUUGAAAUCCAAAUGCUAUCUAAACUUCGUGCCCUUAAUUUAGCUUCUAAUAAUCUUGGUGGAUCAAUCCCAAAACAACUGAGAGAGUGCUCGAACAUGACUAUACUCUUGCCUCUAAAUCUGGCACACAAAGCUUCUACAUAACCUUCCAACGUUACCUCUUGCCUCCCAAACUCCUCAAAGUUCUGGUGCCAAUAUAAUGCUAUUCCAUCAAGGGAGUUUUUCAGAAUCUCCAUUCUUUUCAUGAUCAAAAUGUUGAUUGCAUCUAUACAACCACUUACGGGCAUCUUCCCCAUCAACGCUGGGAAAGUCACAUAUGGGUUUGUGCUUCCUAAACUGAGAGUGCUCACCACUAGGUAAUCAAGUUAUUGCAACUUAUGAGUUGUUUGUUUGUCUCGGGUAGUAUUAGCCUCCCCUGUGGAAAGUUGUAGUGUUUGAAGAAGGGAUGUUUGUUGAUAAGCUAUUCCCCUAAUGAGACCCUGAGUUCAUUAAACUUAGCUUCAUGGUUGCUUUUUGUGGUCACCAGUUUGUGAUUGUAAGACUCCAACAUUUUCAUCAUUUGUUCAUAAUCUUAUGCUUGAUCCUUGCUGACAGCUUCAAGGGAGCUCUCCAGCUUUUUGAUGUCUUGAGAUCUAGUGUCAGGAGCCAUGUUCAAAAGCUACAAUGGAGUCUACUAAUCACAGGGAUCAAUAAACUCGCCGGCGAUGAAUAACAUAAACGCUGGAUGAUAGGGAAUAAAGAAGAAGAGAGAGAAGGAGAGAAGGACAUAAAUCGGUUAAGUCAACAUUUUCAUUCUACUGUUUUCACGCUGGCAUUCUGUUACAAAUACUAACUGAAAGAGCGGCUAAGAACAACUUCCAAUUAUCAAGCAAUAGCCAACACGUGGCAAGAGUCUCUGCUAAAUAAAAGAAACACCAACAUUUAAACGACGUGUCUAGGUAGUAAUUGAAACGGUGUGUUUUGUGACGUCAUACCCCUGCGAUCUUCUAACGUAGGAAGUUGAGACAAAGAUUUCAGAAUUUGUGUUCAUUUAGUAUAUUGUUGGUUAAGUAUAAUGGUGCAUAAUAUUUUUAAAAUUAGUUUUUAAUUUAAAAUAUUUUAAAAUAUUUUUUUUAAUUUAUAACAUUAACAUAUCAAAGUUAUUGAAAAUCAUUAAAAAUACAUCAAUUUAAUAUUAUUUCAAGAAAAACACACUUUUUAAAUGUUACAAAAAAACAAAAGCUAUCAUAUUCCUAAAUCAAUUUGAAUAAGUGAGUUUUUUUUUGUAUAGUUACAUUAAAUAUAAAUGAUUUACAGAUAUUAUUAAAUUAGACUUGAAAUCCUAUUACAUGAGCUCUCUCUCAUAUUUCUAUGUGUGUAUUAUUUUAUAUGAAUAUUUAAAAUAUGAUGAAUAAGUAUGAAUUUAUAACUUUUUUAUUUGAAAUAAAUAAAUACAAAAAUAGUAAAAAAAUAGAUUUAUUGAUACCCUAUUAAAGAUGUGUUGUUUGUUACCUUAAAAUUUAAUUAUUAUUAUUAUUAUUUUAUGAAUGAAACUUGUUAAGAUUUGUUGAGUGAAAAAUUCCUAAAACGAAGACCAUUUUUGCAUUAUUUCUAACAAUAUAAUGUAAAGAGCUGUGCUGGUCACCCGCAUCAGCUACAUUAUCAUUUUCAUGGGUUCUGUUCAUUUCCUUGGGGGAAGGGUUCUUCGGCUUAGUUAUUUUGUUUCCCGCAAUUAAAGUAAAUAUAAUUUUGAAGGGCGAGCAGGCCCAUGAGGCCCGCUUUUUAUACACUAAACUGCAGUUUAAGCCCAUACAAAUAUAAAAAAAAAUAUAAAUAUGCCUGAAACGCAGACAAACAUGUAUUCAAAUGGAUUUAUAGAAUUUGAUGAUAGUUAUUGUUUUUUAAAAUAAUUUUAAAAAAUAUAUAUAUUAAAAUAGUAUAUAUUUUUAUUUUUUAAAAUUAUUUUUUAUAUUAGUAUAUUAAAAUAAUUAAAAAAAAUUAAUUUUAAAAAAACUAUAAUAUUAUAGUUUAGAAUAUUAUAAUUGUUACACAAUUUAACACAUAAGUGUGUAAGGGAAUUUGCGUUUGCCUAAGAGGUUUGAAAAACAGUAUUGAAUAUUUUUUAAAGUGUUUUUCAUUUAAAAAUAUAUUAAAAUAAUAUUUUUUUUUAUUUUUUAAAAAUUAUUUUUGAUAUCAGCGUAUCAAAAUGAUCUAAAAACACUAAAACAAUAUUAAAUUAAAGCAAAGAAAAAUAUAAAAAUAUAAAAAAGUUUCAAAUUUUUUUAAAAAUAUUUUUAAAACAUAAAAAUAAACAGGUGAAUUGACGUAUUUGUUUUUGCGUUCCCAAACAAUAAUAAUUCAAUUUCAACUAGAAAAUAGGGUACUGCUUGGCAUUGGUGACAAAGUAUUCCUCGAUAGAUUUCGUAUUGAUUUUUGGCAUUCAAUAUCUUUCAUGUAAUCACAAUUGUGCUAGUGGAAACAACAUCCUUUAUAAACUCUAUAUAAGAUAUUAUAGCUUUAUACAUCAUUUACGGCCAAUAACAUUUUUUUUUUGCUACAUGAUAAAAGUUCUUUGUUGUCUCUGUUUUUUUUUUGGUACCCAGCUGCUCUCUUUUUAGCUGUAAACAAGACCGAAGAGAAAACACAAAGGUGAAAAAAAUGCUAAAAAGAAAAAUAAAAAAUAAAAUGAUAUCAAAAUUCCAGUUUUUUAUUUGCUAGUACCAUUAUUCCUCUUUCCUUUGAAGCAUAACAUUCAGAAAAAUAAAAAAUUAUCACAUCUACUGGAACACCUAGGAUAUGCUUUGUAGCAAAAAUAAAUUAGUUAUAGCUUUUUUUUGUGUGUUUUUUCCUUUUUUUCAAUUAAUCUUUUUUUUGUUUAAUUGAGUUCUUUAAUAUUAAUUUUUUUUUAUUUAGUUAUAACACUUAUGACACGAAUCUCAGGUUUAAACGGUUAACCUGAUUUAGCGGGUUAAUCCAAUUGACUCAUAUUUUUUUUCUUAAUUAAUUUUUUUCUUUCAAUUUUUUCUUUUAAUAUCGAUUUAAUUUAUAAUUACACUUCGUGAUUUGUUUACUUUUCAUUAGAUUAUCCUAAUCUCAUGAGGGAGUUUUAUUGUACUCCUCCUCACAAAGCACUAUUCAUUGAAAUAGUGCUUUGCUUUGUUUUUUUUUCUUUUCAAUUAAUAUUUUUUUUGUUUAAUUUCAUUCUUUAAUAUUAAUUUUUUUCUAUUUAGUUAUCACAUUUUCAUGACACGACCUUGUAGCCACAUCCAAAGCUCUUGGGUUUGGCGUUGCAGCCAGACUCAAUGCUUUUGGGUCUGGCGUUGUAGUUAGACUCACUUAAACUUGGCUCAGACAAGUUUAAUAUUAUUAUUAAUAUUAAAAAUAUUAUUAUUUGUAUUAUAAAUAUUAUUAUUUUUAUUAUAAUGAAUAUUACUAAUAUAAUAAUUAAUAAAUUUGAAAAAAAAUAUUAUUAAUAUUGAAAAACAACCAUAGAUUUGAUUUGAAGGGUAAAAUUAACAAUUAUAAGAACUUGGAUCAGACAUGUUUAAUAUUAUUAUUAAUAUUAUAAAUAUUAUUAUUGUCAUUAUUAUUAAUAUAAUUAUUAAUAAAUUUGAAAAAAAAAUUAUUACUAUUAAAAAAUAAUCAUAGAUUUGAUUUGAAGGGUAAAAUUAAAAAUUGUUGUUGUUGUUGUUGUUGUUGUUGUUGUUAUGAUAAUUAGUGUUAUUCUUAUUCUUAAUAUUGUUAUUAUUUUUAUUAUUAUUAAAUUUAAAAAAAAAUAUUAUUACUUUUGAAGAAAAACCACAUAUUUGAUUUGAAAUGAUUAAAAACUAUAAGAACUUGAGUCAGACAGGUUUAAUAUUAUAAAUAUUAUUAUUUUUAUUAUUAUUUUUAUUAUUAUUAGGGGAACCAUGCCCCAGAAACUUGGAACUGAGGCGCCGGACCCAAGUUUAUAAUUAUUAUUGUUGUUAUUGAUAAUAAAUUUUUUUAAAAAAUAUUAUUACUAUUGAAGAAAAACCAUAAAUUUGAUUUCUAUGGAUAAAAAACUAUAAAAACAUGGGCCAAACAAGUUUAAUAUUAUUAUUAAUAUUAAAAAUAUUAUUAUUUGUACUAUAAAUAUUACCAUUAGUAUUAUAAUUAAUAUUAUAAAUAUUAUUGUUGGGUUAGGCGUUACAGCCAGAUCCAAGACUCUUGAGUCUCACUUUGCAGAUAAACCCAACGCUUUUAAAUCUUAGCUUUUUUGAUAUUUUUUUAUGCCAAAAAAUUGGUCAACGGCAUAGCGUGGGCUACCUAACUAGUAAUAUUCUAAUUGUAAACAAAAUGUAAAGUACACAACUUUUUAGUAGUUGGAUUCAAUUAACCAAACUAUCAUAUAAUAUAAAUCAACCUAUUCUUAAACUUUUUACAAAAUUCUUCGCAAACAUGAUAUUAGUUUGAAAACUAAACCGCGUGGGUUUUUCAUUGUAGCACAUCCACGAUGAAAUGUGUCAUAGGCUACAGUAAAAUUAUCCUUUUACCCUUUAUUCUAUAAUUUUUAAAGCUUUACUUGAGGGGUAAGAUGGUCUUCACACGUGAUUAAUUUGUCAUUCUUGAUUUAUUUGGGCAUAAUACAAUCUUUUUGUUUUUUUUUUUCAAUAAUAGUGUAAUUAUCAUGUUGUCUUUAAAGAGUGAACAAUCAAAACCUUUGAUCCAGGAACCGUGUGGUAAUUUUAGUUUUGCCAUGAACAGUUGAAUUGCAUAGUUACCUUUACUAUGCGAAUUUGUUAGCCUUGGAUUCAAAGGCUUGAUUGUAAUUUUAUAAGGUUGUUUUUUGUUAUUAUUAUUUGGUCACUGAAACAUUUUUGGUUAGGUGCACGUAAAAAAAAGUUGCUAACACACGUUCGGCUGACUACGGUAGUUGAAAUUAGGCUUCCGUCACAUCAUUUAAUGCGUCUCAGCGUCCUCUUCCUUCUCUUGACUUUUUUUUUGUGAGAUAUGGUUUGGCGCCGAUUGACUUUUUUUUUCUUUUCCUUCUCUUUCUUUCUCGGAUUAUGUGUUAGCCAUGCAAAAAAUUACACCAGCCCUUCCAUUUCUUUUUUCUUUUAAUUCAAUCAUUCUUCUCUUAAUUGCAUUUAAUUUAUUUACAUAGAUUAUUUGUAAUUGAAUUUUAUUUUCGAUUUGAUCUAUGGCUAUUUGAUUUUGUUAGUUUUUUUUAAUUUGAUCAUAUUCUUUUAAUUGCUAUUUUUUUUGUUUUCAAUCAUUUUCUUGAUUGAUUUUUUUUUUCAAUUCUCUCCUUGAGCAUUUCUUUUCAUUGAAUUUUCCCUUAACAUUUAAUUUCAGUUGGUUUUUAUGUUGAAUUUGAUCCUAAUUUUUUUAAUUGCUAUUUGUUUUGUUUUGUAUUAUUUUUUUCUAUUAAUAUUUUUUCUUUUAAUUUCAUCCUUCAAUAUUUGUUUGGUUAAAAAUCUUGUUUUUUUAUUUUUUAAGAUUUGCUUAGUUUGGGUUAACUUUGAUAUUUUUUAAAGCAUUUUCUCACACCCUUCGUAGUUGUUGUAAAGUAAACUACUUUGUAGAUGUUGGAUUCAAUUAAUCAAACUAUCAUAUAAUACCACACUAUUUUUUUUGUGGUACACGAAACAAUGUUUUCUUAAUAAGAUGCUUCCAUGAAACUACGCAUCACUAUUUUUCUAGGAUUGUCCUCCUCCCACGGCCUAUAGAGUUUCAUUCCUUCUGGGAAAUCACCUCGCAUGUUGGACUCUAACUUUUGAUUUUUAAAAUUAACCAAAUAAGGUACUAAAAUAAAAAAACCAUAAGAAUAUAUGGUUUAUGUAGCUCAAUUAAAAAAAAAUAUUGUUUUAAGCUGUUUUUGUUUUAAUAAAACAUUGCUAAAAAAUAUUUAAAAAUCAAAUUAGUCUUGAUCAGGUGACCAAUUUUCCAAUUUACCCAUAAAGUUAACUGGAUUGCACCGAUGGACUCCUUUUAAUUAGUUUAGUUUGAAAUCUAAUUCACAUUAAAUUAUUAAUUAACAACUUAAUUAAUAAUUUGUGGAAGCUAUUAUUAAUUGCUUCCACAAAUUAUUAACAACAUAAUAUAUUCUUAUAUAUGUUGUUAACAACAUAAGAAUAAAUUAGUAACUGGGUUGAUUAAUCCGAGAUUUAUCGAGAUUUAAUAAUAUAUUCUUAUGCUGUUUUUACAUUGUGGAAGCUACCAGAUGAGUUCUGCAUCUCCCACUUUCACGUCAUUUUUUAGUAUGAGUAGUUCACAUGUUAGCUAUUUUAAACCUUGAAACUAGUCAAGGUUGUAAUGAUUUAAAGUUUUUUAAGAAUGAACACUGCAGUUUAUAUAUGUUGUAAUUGUUUUUAAUAUUGCAGUUUGAAAAAUCAUUUUUAGUCAAUUAAUUGAUUUGAAAUAUUUAUUUGAUUAAAAUUAUUGUUGAAUAAAAAAUAGUUUAAAAGUGUUUGGUUAAAAUAAUUUUUAAAAAUAAUGUUGAUAAUAAAAUAAUUAAAAUAAAUAUAUAUUAUUUUUGUAGUUUUUAAUUAUAUUAUUGUGCAUUAAAUUAUUAAUACAUUAUAAUUAUAACAAUACAACAUUAAGAUUCUAUUUUUAUUGUUUUGUUUUCUUAAGAAGAUGCUUCCAUGAAACUACGUACGUAUCGCCAAAAACAACUCCUAAAUGAUUUAUACCUUGACGGUUAAUUAAGAUCCUGCUCCCACCCCACACUUCACGGCCUCUAGACAGGAGCAACCUUUUCAAUUUUCAUUUCUUCUUGGAAAUCACCUCGCAGGCUGGACUCUAACCUAUGAUUUUUAAAGCCAAAGAAGGUCAUAAAUUAAAAAAACCAUAAGAAUAUAUGGUUGACCGGGUCAAUUAAAAUAAAAUAUUGUUUUAAGAUUUCCUUAAAAAAAUAAAAACAACAUUGUUUAAAAAAGAUUUAAAAAUCAAAUUUAGUCUUGAUCAAUUCUCUAAUUUAACCACAAAAUCUAUGUACCUGAUUGCAUCGAUUAAAUUCUAUCUAAUUUAAUUUAAAACUUAAUUUAAACUAAAUUAUUAAUUAAUAAAUUAUUAAAUUUAUCCACGAAGCACGCAUUUUAUACUGGGUUAACAGGAAGCUACCAUAUGAGCUCUUAAAUAAAAAAAAAAUUGUGAACAUAAUUUUGUGAACAUUGAUGCAUGUUACUUAAUUAUGCGAGCCUGACUUUUAUAUAACAGUGUAUACAAACCUAAUCAAUAAAUUGGGUUUGGCACAGCUUUUAUCAGCUCCAAAAAAAACAAAAAAAAAAAACUUAAUUGAUGAAUGUUAGGCGAGAUGAGUGUAUGGUAUUUUCAAUUAAAAAGUGUUCUUGAGAAUUCUUAAUUUUUUAAUUUUAAUUGAUUUUUUAUAUCAUUUUAAUAUUAAAUUUCAAAAAACAAUAGCAAUCACAAUUCUAAAAAUACAAUUAAUCUGAAUAUCAACUUUAUAUUCAUUAAGGGGUUAUAUGUUAACAUGAAUGGUGCUAGGAGAGAGGGUUAUAAUAAUUAAUUAAUUAAAAUCACGAGAAGCGCAGUGGCGCUAAAUAAUUGAAGCCCAGGUAGCUAAGAGAGAAUGUGGGGUCGGCGCCGGCCCGUCAACUCCGCCGCAUUGAGGACAUUAUGCAACUCACUCACUUAUGCAAAUCUAACGUGCAUGUGAUGACGUGUGGACUUUAAUUUUUCUCAGUCCAAACACCUUUUAAUUUAUUGACUAUUUUUUAUAUCACAAAUAGUGAAACUUUUAAUUUAAUUACAAAAAAAAAUACAGUAAUACUUGAUUAGGUUGUUGCUAUAUUUAUUUAAAUAGUCAAUAUCUUCAAUUCGUCCCUGUUCAUGAUAAAAAAAUGUUUCCCUUGUACUUCCUUUUCUUUUGGUUAAAAACUGCGUCAUAACACAUAUAAUUUAUACCAACAAUUAGUGUUAUUUUUGUGUAAUUAUAUAUUAAUUUGUUUGAGAUUCCCUUGUAUUUUUCUAAAUAUCCUUCCUCUAGAUUUACAAAAAUUAUUCCUUUACAAUAAAGUUAUUUGAUUUAUUACUAUUUAACAUUUUAUGCACCAAUUUUCUUAUUUUAUUUCAUCUUAAUUUUAAGUUAAUUUAUCGGAGAUUUUUAUUCUAAAUCACAAUAACUUUUCUUUUUAAUUUAUUAUUUUUUAAUUAAAAAUUACAUUAUCAAAACAUAUUUAUCGAUCUUUAAAUCAGGGUUUACAACAUUCUACUAAAAUUUUGUAAUGAUCACAUUGUCAAAAAAAAAUUUAAUAGUAGUGGUUGGAUUAAUAUUUUUUUUAUUAAUGUAAGUGUCCAGAUUAGCUUACGUGUAUUUCAACUAAUCUCAUAACCUUUAAAGUUAAUUAUCAUAUAAAUUUUUAGUAAUUUUAAAAAUCUCAAACUUAUAAUUAUUAAAAAAACAAAUUCAAAAUCUAUCUAACCUCUCAAAAUUAUAAAAAGAACUCGAACCAAUACUUUAAUCGUGGGAGUGAAAGGGUGGUUGUGAGAGAAAUAAAGAAUAGGAUUGUAGGUAACUAAAUAAUACAAAUCAACCUUUAGAACGACUCUCUAAAGUCGGGGAUUUCGAUGAAGGCAAGGUAGAUGUCGCACGUGAGCGACGUCGCGGUGAUCGUCCACCCUCGAAUGUAUGGGGGGAUAUAUAUCUGGUAAAUAUGGGGAGACAAGGAAUUCUUUGUCUCUUAUCAAUGAAAAAUGGUGUGGGAGUCGCCACCUAGUAUUUUGGUCACUAGGAACCCUAACUGGUCUCAGAGAUCGGGCACGGGGACUGGUUGCGUAAAGGGAAGGUAUUAGCACCCCAAAUACGCCCUACCUAAGGUAAGCUGCAUUGUUUGAUUGUCUGAUAAAAAAGCUAAGGUGUUAUUAUAUUUCUAGUUGUUGGUCCCUUGAUAGUUCAAGAAAAGUCCUCCUCAAUAAGGAGGUCCUUAUCUUAUCGGGUAAAGCCUAACCGUUCUAACGUCUAUGUAAAAAAACAUAUUUUUAAUAUCAGGAAUACGUUCUACGUAUAAAUUCGUAAUCCCAAAUACUAAAAGAAGACCAAAAGAUUUUUUUAGAAUUUUUGAAAUAUUGGCCUAGUUCUCAUGGCUUGAAUAAACUGGUUAUUAAAGCCAAAAUGCAUGCUAAUAUAUAUAUUGUUUUUGAAAUUUCCUUUGUUGUGUGAAAAUAUGAUGUUAUAAUAUUUAUAUAUAUAUAUUGGAGAGACUAGGCCGUAUGCACGAAAACAAAACAUUUUUAACUUAUUUUAUUUUUUAUGUCUUGACGAAAACCGGGUAUUUUAAUACCGGAUUUGUAUCUUUACAGUAUAAAAAUACAAACCGAUAUUGAUCAAAAUACAGUAAUAAAUUUAGAGAAAAUCACAUUUUUUUUGAAAUAAUUUUUAAAGAAUUUUUUGUUCGAAUGGGCCAGACCCGGCCCGAAAGGAGACUGGGCCGAAAUCGGCCCAAAAUAAAACGGGUCUACUUUCUACAGGGCUGGACACGCAUAGUAACCGGGGGUACUGUACACGCAUAGCAACCCGUUAAUUAAUUAGCUGGUUACUGUGCACAUGUACAGUAACCGGCUAAUUAUUUUCUUGCUUGCAGAACGUGCACAGUGCACGUUCCGCAUGCAAGAAGAUGAACAGUAAAAUGAGAUAAGGGCAGAGGGCUGACUUGUGGUGGCUCUGAAGGCGGUGCUGCUGGUGGUUGCUGACCGGAGAAUGGCUUGGACGGUGGUGAGCUUUUCUUCCCUUUCUUCACUGUGUUUUCCCUUACUCUGUUCUCCUCUGCUUCUCCUUUCUUCUUCUGUUUCUCACGGUGCUCUUCCCUCUCGCGGUGGUUCUGCUGUUGUUUGGCAGCUUUGAUGGUGCUGGUGGCAAUGGAGAGGACGCCCGAUGACAGCAGUUGUUUUCUUCUUCUUCUUCUUCCCCUGCUGCUCGCGAGGCAGGCGCUCCCUUUUUCUUCAAGCAGCAACGCCGGGUGGGAGGAAGGUGAUGAACUGAGGCAGGAUGGUGGUGGCGUUUGGCAAUGCUGGUGCAGUUGGCGUGUUACUGCAACUGCUCCUGGUGUUGCCGCUGCUGCUCUUCCUCCUGGUGUUGCUGCUGCUGCUCUUCUCCUGGUGUUGCUGCUGCUGGGCUAGAGGAGAUGAUGAGGGCAUUGGCAGCGUUGGUGCGGCUCCUGGUGUUGCUGCCGCUGCUGGGAUGGAGGAGAAAAUGAGGUCGGUCUGGGGCUCCGUUGACAGAGAAGGCUGUUUCGGGUGCAGGGAAGAAAUGGCCGAGAGAGGGGAAUGGCCAGGAGGGGGACUGUUUUUGGGUGCUCUCUCUCUUUCUCCUCCGUUCAACAAAACUCUCCUCGUUUUAAACUUCUUCCUCUCUCCAUUUCAAAAAGUUUUCCCCCCCUCUCCUCUCUCUCCUGCGUUCUUUUUCUUCCCUCCUUUCUUCCCCCUCGGUCUCUCUCUAUUUAUAGGAAAAAAUGGAGCAGGUGCGCCUUCAAUCACGCAACGGCUGGUCGACCAGUGACCCGUUCGGUGGUCUAAAGGUGUGGGGCUACGGUGGGGACGAGGAGAGAGAGGCGAGACGGUUUUUGAAAAUGGUUUUUGUCUUCUGUUGUUGUUCAACGGGGGAAGGAGGAAGAUGAACAGUGUCAUUCAAAACGACACUGUUCUGGCCGUUUCAUUUAAAUGAGCCAAACUUCAAAUCAGUCCUCUAUCAUUUCUUGUUCAUUUCAAUUGUAUCCCUGCCAAAUUCGAUCUCCGCCCCCAUAGUUGGCCGCGUUUUUCACUUUAAUCCUUGGCCUCUGAUUUAUGCAAUUAAGCCCUCAAUUGAUCAAUAAACUUCCAUAUUUAUUCAAUUAAACCCCUGAUUUGACCCAAUAAAUUCCUAAAAACUAUAUUUUGGCCCCAGAACUUAAAUUUCUUUCAAUUAAAGCCUAAAUUGACUUAAAAAUCAAUUUUCUUGCAAUCAAAUCCCCUAUAAAAUCAAUUAAAAAUCCAAUUAAGUCUAUAAACAUCCAAACUUGGGCUUUUCUCCUCAAAAUUCAAAUUUCCUUCUCAACAUGGCUCUCAUCCUUCAAGAAUAUACUGUCAAAAAUCCAAUCUUUGUAUUUUUAACCUCCUUGACCGAUUUUUCUGACCAUUUGCUGAGCGCUUCUGCCUCCUGUUAUUUUUCUAACCUCCUUUGGCUAUUUAUUUUAUUUCAUUUAUUUGGGAAUCCAAAAAUAGGUUACAACAGUAGACGCCAUCUUUGACAUGUUGAUCGCUAAUGGUCAGCUGACUCUACCUCUGUGUAAGCGACCUGCUGAGAUCAAUAAAGUUGAAGAUUCCAAUUACUGUCGACAGUUUGAAUUUUUGACAAGAUCAAUAAACUUGAAUUUUCUAAUAACCUUGAAUUAAUAAAUACUAAGUGUCAACUUUCAAAUCAAUAAAUAAAAAUGAAAAAUACCAUGACAAAGCAACAAUUGUUUUGAUAAAAAUCAUUAAUAUAGAUGGACUUACUCGUAAUUCAAUAACGCAAGUCCUUUUCCAAUUUCAUAACUAUGCUAUACAAACUACGUACCAUUUGUCACCAUGACCGAUUCUGCUUCUGUUCCAGCCUCUUUUUUUUUUUUUUGAUUAUCGUGGGUGUCCGGGCCAGCUUGCGCGCACCUCGACUAAUCCCACGGGCCCUGAAGUUAACGACCAUGUAAGCCUCUAGUGGCCAUCAUAUGAGCGACCACAGGGUUCGAACCUGAGACCUAAGAGGGAGCAAACCCCUUAGUCCCAAGCUCUUACCACUGGGCCACCACCUAGAUGAUCCGAUGCGUGGAGGUGAUUAUUUUGGAUUCAGUUUGGCUUUUAUUAAAAAAAUAAUUAAAUCAAAUUUAAAAAAAAAACAAUUGAAACAUAUUCAAACCAAGCUUCUUAUAUGUAUUCCCUAUCUUAUAUGUAUUCCCUGUUGAGCUUGUUUUAAAAUAAUUUUAACAAAAUAUAUACUUUUGCAUAGGUCUACUUCCAAACCAUGAUAUAUAUAUAUAUAUAUAUAUGUCGUUCUACUGAAAUUUCUUGCUUUUGUUAGGGAACAAAAAAAGUGGAGGGUCUUGUGCUAGAUGUGCAAACUUCGAAAGCUGAACCUUUAAGAACAGAAUCAUUUGAAAACAUGAAAUAUUUGAAUUUACUCCAAAUCAAUGGAGUUCGUCUCAACGGAUGCUACAGACAUCGUCCCAAAGGGAUUAUAUGGCUUUGUUGGCAUGGAUAAUUUCAAACUGGACUAUCUAGUUGUUCUUGAACAGUGAUUAGAAGCUUAUUACAAUUUGAACAGUGAGGGUAGCUGAUGUGGAACGUUUUGUGGAUGCGUUUAUAGAUAGAUCGAAAUGGCAAAUUUCAAGAAGAAGUUCAGACGCUUUGAAGGUGCAGUGUCACAAAAAACAGCCAGAUACAACCGUGAAAUCGUACUGAAAUUUGAUGACAGGUCUGGAGGCCAUGUUUUCUAUGGGAUAUAGCUCACUUGCACUAACUGAAAUCACGAAGUCCUUCAAAUUAGAAAUUAGACCUGGAAGAUGCUGUUUUUUAUUUAUCUUUUUUUUCCUACAAGCUAUAUUAGAAUUUUAAUUAAUUUUUCUACUUUCAAUAUUUUUUUUCUGUGUAGACUAGGUUGGUUUUCGCUACUAUAUGACCAAUUAGUAUGUUAUUUUUCAGUAGAGUUUUAUGCAUUACAAACUUUCAGAAUAUUUUUUAACUUAGUAUGAUCUAAAUACUCUUUUAACUCAACUAAUAAGGUGUGCAUAUUAUUUUAAAACAUAACAUAAUCUAAUGAAUUGACCCGUGAUCCAAGUAAUUUAAAAUUUAGAUUGGGUUAGGUUUUAACAAAAAUAGAAAAAAGAAUUAACUUAGUAUGAUCUAAAUACUCUUUUAACUCAACUAAUAAGGUGUGCAUAUUAUUUUAAAACAUAACAUGAUCUAAUGGGUUGACCCGUGAUCCAAGUAAUUUAGAAUUUAGACUGGGUUAUGUUUUAACAAAAAUAAAAAAAAAAUUAACUUAGUAUGAUCUAAAUAAAAACCUUAAUAGGCCAUUGACUCAAUCAAUAUAGGAAAAAUUCGGUCAAAAUGUUUUUAAAAUUUAUUUUAAAAUAAUAUUAUUUUUAUUUUUUUAAUAAAAAAUAGGUUAAUCUAACUUAAUCAAAUAAUCUCAGUUGACCUAUAUGUGGAGAAAGCUAGGAACAACCAGAAACCAAUUUUGCUAAAUUACAAUUCACAAGUCCCAAUCAUUUUCCCUUUUUGUGCAAUUAAAAUUAGGAUCAAACAGUCAACAAAUUAAUGUAAACAAUCACACAAAUUAACAUCAAUAUUUUUACGUGGAAAACCCGAUGCAGGAAAAAAUCACGUGACCGUAGUUCACCUAAAAACUUUCACUAUCAACAAAUAAUGGGUUCAUAAUUGUUAUUUCUCAAAUUUAACUAAAGGCUAUAAUCUAUUAUUGAAAUACAACAAGAUUAUGGUGAAUAGUCUAAGAAGCCUCGUAUACGCGGUACCUUGUAAUUCCAUGCAUCACCGGUUUCUGUGUUAUUUUAUUCCAACUUGAGUUUUAACUAUUACUGCAUUGUAUCACCCAUACCCAUGAAAACUUACUCAAGCCAACUCCACUGAGUGAGUACUUUUAAUUGAUGCAAAUAAAAAAAAAUAAAAAUAAAAAUAAAAAUAAAAAUAAUAAUUAUGUCAAGUAAUUAAAAGAUUUUAUUAUUGAAUAUUUUAUCUUCAAGUGGUCUAGUGAAAUACAAGCUAAAAUACAUUUUUUAUAAUAGUUCUAGGCCUAUCUUGAAAAGAAAAGAAAUCCUAAUAAAUAAUUAUAGAGUUAUUCCAUGAAUUUCCUAAACUAAAUAUAAAAGAUAAAAUCACCAAGUACAAUAUAAUAUUUUUUGGUGUAAUGGAAAAAAAAGAAGAAGAACAAACUAGCCUUCCCUACAUUAGCUAGUACUAGAGGAGAUGAGAAAUCCGUGGAGGGGAAUCCUAAAUAUAAAACUCAAUCAUGUACUCUGCUCCCAUCUUGGCUAGGAAGUCUGCACAGGAGUUGGCUAUAUUUUUUUUAUGCACUGCUACUUUUUUUUUUCAUUGUUGAAAGGGUUUAUUAUGAACUGAAUUGAAUAUCAAUAAAUAAAAGCAAGCUCAUAAAUCAUUUUAUUAUAGGAAUAAUUAAAAGCCGUCUGCUGAUAUCAAAAUUCAUACGGACAAUAAACAAAAAUUAAAAGAAGCAAAAGAAAAAAAAAAGGUUUAUUUAACUCUGCAACUCUGCAAAUUAUUUAACUCAUUAUCAAUAAUUCCCUCACAAUGUCUCAAAAACUAUGCUUAGGUGAAAGGCCCACAAAAAUAAAACUGAAAUUCAAAAUAAAAUAAUAUCAAGUUUAAUAACAAAACUCAACUAAAAAUAAUAAAUUAAACUAAAAAACAUAAGUUAAAAUACAAUCUUCUAAUAAAUUGGGUUACCCUCUAUCAUCAAUAAUCAUACACAGGCAUAAACUGUAUAUUGGAUCUGAUGUCUCCAUCAGUUGUGGUGAUGAUUUAUCUAUAUGUUUUCUAAAAUAGUUCUCACUGUCAAAUAUAUCAGGAAUGACCUGAUAUAAAGUUGAAACUUUACGUGAAUAUGCAGUUUUUAUUUACUGUGAAAUCAAUUUUAAGUUUAUAGAGAUCGUUUACCUUCUCAAUGUUUUGUAAUCCAAUUGAUGGACAAUCGAAGAAGGAACCAGCAAUUUCAAAUUGCGUGAAUACAACUUAGUACACUCAUAACAGACUCUUAUAGACUUCAUCAACGAUGUAGCACAUCAUGGAACAAUUAGAGACGAUAAUUUGAUUGAAUAUAGUUUCAGAUCAAAGCAUAAUCCCUAAAAAUCCACGAAAAUUACACCUCAUAACAAGAAACAAAACUCUAAUUUGUUUCGUUUUGUUUGUUUCCGGACAUCUUCCCACGAACCACGCAGAAAACGCAAUUGAAGAGGGAGAAUAACAAGGAAGAUACCUGUCUUUGCCUGAGAAGCAGAAAACCCUUAAAAGCUCCGUGACCCCACUCAAAGCCAAUUUCAAAAUCUGUGGGGUUUUAGUUCUAGUUUGGCUCUUAUUUUCAUUAUCUGCUGCUCCUGAGCAGCAUCUAAUUCCAUGAAUUCUCUGCCAAAUUAAUGCUAGUAAAUUGCCUAGAAAGAAGAGAGAAAUUCAACUUGAAAAUUGAAACUCAGACCGAAUGAAUAAUUUGAAGGUGGGUCCCUUGCUUGUUACCUUAAAAGUCAUUAAGGUUGUUGGAUUCAGAGAGCAUAUUCCCGCCAUUUUUGUAACAGAAUGGAAUGGAAUCAGUUAGUCAGAAAAGGUGGGUCCCUGAAUUUCUGUUGAUUUAAAAACAGUAAAAUAAAUUUAAAUCAUGCAUCCAUAUAUAUAUAUAUAUAUAUAUAUAUAUAUAUAUAUAUUCAAAUCUAGUGUUGGUAAAUAUUACGCAGUUAAAAAAAACACAUGGUAGUCACAUGGUAUUUCUGACUCUAGCGCCAAUGAAUAAAACAGUUAAAUAAAUUUAAAUUUAUUUUACUAUAUGCAUACAUUGAUUUAAAUUUAUUUUACUAGUUUAUUUAUUGGUGCUAGAGUGAGAAAUACCAUGUGUUUUUUUUGCUGCGUAAUAUUUACCAACAUCAGAAUUGAAAAAAUUCAUAGUUGAAUAUUUACUAAUACUAGAAUCAAGAAUAUUAUAGUAAACUAUUGAUAGCAUAAUAUAACAAAUCCUUAAUAAUUUAAAAUAAAAUUAAUAAUGCGGUUUAUCUCAUAUAAGAAGUUAAAGAGGUUGAUAAUACAAAGCAAUAAGUGCCUGGUUUUAGUUGUAGUUUGGCUUUUAUUUUCAUUAUCUGUUGCUCCUGAGAAGAAUCUAAUUCCAUGAAUUCUCUGCAAAAUUAAUGCUAGUAAAUUGGCUAGAAAGAAGAGAGAAAUUCAAUCGAAAAUUGAAACUUCGACAGUAUGAAUAACUUGAAAGUCAUUAAGGUUGUUGGAUUCAGAGAGCAUAUUCCAGCCAUUUUUGUAACAGACAUGGAAUGGAAUCAGUUAGUCAGUCCAUGUAUGUGUGUCAUUUCUCUAGUACUGGUAGCCACUAAUGAGCUGCCUCGUCAAGGAUUUUUGCUUAGCCUUUUUUUAGGUAUGGAAUGAGAGUAUAAUAGAUAUUGUUUUGAAGUUUUUUUUACUUUCAUGAAUCCUCUGCAAAAUCAAAUUGAUUAGUGAGAGAGACAUUCAUCCUGUAAACUUCGUCGAGAAACUCAUUAAGGCCGUAGGAUUAAUCUCACCUUUUGAGUAGCUGUGGUCCGUUUCAUCUUCUGGACUAAAGGAAAAUAAAGAGAAUAAAGAGAAUCUUAGCUGCAAGUUUCGGCCUGAUUUUACAGGUUUAAUUAGAGGUUAAAAAAACUCGGGAUUUUUUUUAAUAAUAUUUUUUAAAAAAACUUGAUAUAUAUACUUUAAUUUUAAUUUAGCAUAUAUUCGUGUUUUGAAAUUAUAACAUGCUGAAAAACUUAUCAUGAAAAACAAAGUCUAAAAUAUAAAAUAUUAAAAUUCUUAUCUUUUAGUAACUAAUUCAUAAAGUCUUUUUAAAAUAUCAAACUCAUAAAAAUAACAAACGGACAUAAGCAAUCAAAUUCAUGAAAGUGAAAGCAAAGAAAACCACAAUAACACAUUAACUAUCGACCAGGUAUUUAUGAUAAAUUUGUGGCCUAUAUAAAUUGGAGGAUAAAGACCAGCACCAAAUUUCUGAUAUUCUGAACUUUUGAUUGGCUAUGACCCGUUCCGUCGACUAGACUAAAGAAAAAACAAAGAGAAACCCCAUGGCACAAUCUGGGGCCAAGGGAGUUUACUAGCUAUUGAAUUUCCAACUUCAUGAUGCAUCAUGUCCAUUCGUCCCAAUGAGCACGAUAAACAGCUUUCAUGGAAUAAUUAAGCAAUUAAUUAACACGACAAGUUGUGACAUUAAUUUCUUGAUCACUGAUGCAACACUAGUGAUGUAUUUUUUAAAGGAUAAUUUCAAUUUAAAAAUUUAAGUUAUUAGAUAAGAUUACGAGAAUAAUUUUAUAUUAUUCUUUAAUAUAAUUUUUUAAGUCAAAAUUGUUUAAACUUAAAAUUUAUAUAUGUCCAAACUAAUUUUUUUUUAAUUUUAUUAAUUAAAUUAAAAAUUUUGAGAUUCAAAUACAUAACGUGUAAUAAUCUUUUAAAUAAUUUAGAGCGUGAGAAGUAAGCAGGUAAGUAAAAACUAGACAGAAUCACACAUUAAUUGUGAAGGAUUAGUGGUUGAGAAGGAAGAAAAAUAAAUGAUGGAUAUUUCCAAGGCAAUCAAGCAUUUACUUGCUGAAUUUAAGAAGAAUAACACAAAAACAAUUUUAUUGAAUUAGCACAAAAUAUUGGAUUAAAAAAUCGAUAUUUAGAAUGAACUAUUAAAACAAGUGAAAUUUAAAUUUAACAGACAAAUUUAAAUUAUUAAACAUCAUGAAUUUUGAGUAAUGGGAAAAGGGCUAGUCCCCGAAAAUGCCCUUUCUCGUUGGGGCAUCUUCUAUGGCUAAUUGUGAAAUCAUCUGCUGUUGGCAUAUCAGCUCUUCUUUCCCCAGGAGCGUGACCAGUAGCCUAGAAAAAUUACUAGGAUGAACAAGUGAAGGUUUUGACAAAGCCGGCAACAGCAUAUGUACACCUUGAACAAACCCAUAUGGCACAAGGUCUCCACUUAACAAAAAAAAAAAAAUUACAAUAAUAAAAAAUAUUUUUGUUAAAAAAAUAUUUAUAAUUUUGCCCAAACUCCCAUGUUUUGAACAAAUGAGCCAACAAAUAAGCAUUUAGCAAAUCUUCCACCCAAUAAAAACUAAUGUCACUGUAGUUGACGCAUCUCAAAUUCUGUAUGAAUAGGAAAUUUCACAAUUAAAAAUUCCAAUAAAUAUUCCAUUUCUUUUUUUCUAUAAAAACCUAUCAUUGGAGCCCAGGAUCUUCAUCUGCCAGAGGAAACCAUAUCCCUUAGACAUGGUGUCCAUGCUACAGAAACCAUUCUCAAUGUUUCUCCAAGUCCUUUUUUUUCUCCUUCUAAUGUGCUCUCCUUCUUUCUUUGCCUUUCCUCCUAAUUCCUCUGCAACUUCAUUUGGUGCUGCCAAAUAUGUAGCUGCUGAAGGUAAUAAAGAAGCGGAGGCUCUCCUAAAAUGGAAAGCAAGUCUUUAUGACAACCACAGCCAAUCUGUCCUGUCUUCUUGGGUUGGCAGCAGCCCUUGCAAGUGGCUUGGGAUCACUUGUGACAAUUCUGGAAGUGUCGCGGAUUUCAGCCUUCCAAAUUUUGGUCUGAGAGGUGUUGUGCAUACUGGACCGAAAGCAAACACAAAUAAAACACAAACAAGCAGAUUUACGUGGUUCCCCAAAACCGGGUACGUCCACGGAGGCAGCAGAUUGUAUAUUAAUGGAGGAAUGAUACAAACACUCAACUCAACCCAAUACAACCCCACAAAACCCAGUGUUUCACUCUUACACUCGUUUCUCUCAAAUCUGCACUUGCACACACUCUCACAGUUGCACUGUCUUCUUCCUCUGCACACUUGCUUCUUGCACACUCAGCACUUUCUCUAUGCCUUCUCUCGUCUCUCUUCUGUCUUCAAUCAGUUUACAUGAGAAAGGAAAGCAUAAAUAUAGUGGCUGUAAAGGAGAGGGUGGUUGGUAGUGGAUAGGGUGGUUGAGAAAAUGUUGACAAUUUGCAAAUGUUGACAAUUUGCUACAAAUCUCCACCUUGGCAAGAUUUUUCCAUUCAAUCCUCGUGAUCAAUCAAUGCUGCCUCUGAUGCGCCAUAUGGCGCUGCACCCUAAAGGUGCUCAACACCGAGAGAUGUUGACCAAGUCCAAACAAUGUUGGAACUUGAUCCCUGAGACACAUUUUGUGAGCAUGUCAGCUGGAUUAUCUGCAGUACUAAUCUUCUGUAGCAGAAUAUCCCCUUCAUCCACAAUUUCUCGAACAAAAUGAAAACGAACAUCAAUAUGCUUGGUGCGAGAAUGAUGAACCUGAUUCUUUGCAAGACAAAUAGCACUUUGACUAUCACAAUGGACAUCCACGUGCUCUUGAACAAUUCCAAAAUCUUCAAUCAACCCAUGUAACCAAAUAGCUUCCUUGAAAGCUUCUGUUACUGCCAUGUACUCUGCCUCAGUUGUUGACAAAGCUACUGUUGAUUGUAACGUUGACCUCCAACUUACAGGCCCUUUAGCAAGUGUAAACACAUAGCCUGUUGUUGAACGACGCUUGUCUAAGUCACCAACAUAGUCCGAGUCCACAUAACCAACUAAAUUUUGCCCGAGUCUAUCAUCCCUCUCAAACUUCAAACCAAUAUCAGUUGUGCCAUGAAUGUACCGUAGAAUCCACUUAACUGCCUGCCAGUGACCCUUUCCCGGAUCAUGCAUAUACCUGCUCACCAUACUGACAGCAUGUGAAAUAUCUGGUCUCGUACAAACCAUUGCAUACAUUAAUGCACCAACUGCAUUUGCAUACGGAAUUUGAGCCAUAUGUUUGCGCUCUUCCUCUGUGCGUGGAGACAUUGAAGCACUUAGCUUAAAAUGAGGAGCUAAAGGUGUGCUUACAGGCUUGGUCUUACCAUCUACCCCAAAUCUCUGUAGAAUUUUCUUCAAGUAUUGGGUCUGUGUCAAACAGACUGUGCCUUUUCUUCUGUCUCUCUGAAUCUCCAUGCCAAGAAUCUUCUUAGCUUCUCCAAGGUCCUUCAUUUCAAACUCAGUUCUCAGUUGAGCUUUCAGUCUAUCAAUCUCCACCUUGCUCUUCGAUGCGAUCAACAUAUCAUCCACAUAUAAGAGCAAAUAGAUGAAAGAACCAUCAAGAAGUUUGCGAAAAUAUACAUAGUGAUCAAACUGACUCCGUGUGUAUCCAUGUUCUGCCAUGAACUUAUCAAAUCGCUUAUACCACUGGCGAGGAGAUUGUUUCAAUCCAUACAAUGACUUCUUCAGUUUACAAGCCCAAUUCUCUUUUCCAGUGACUUUGAAACCAUCUGGCUGAGACAUGUAAAUUUCCUCUUCCAAAUCUCCAUGUAGGAAGGCAGUUUUCACAUCAAGUUGGGCUAACUCCAAAUCAAACUGUGCAACCAAGGCUAACAGAAUACGGAUUGAUGAAUGCUUAACAACUGGAGAGAAUACCUCAUUAUAAUCUAUCCCCUCCUUCUGAGCAUAGCCUUUUGCUACCAAUCUUGCUUUGAAACGGAUGUUGUCUUUUCCAGGAUUACCUUCCUUCUUAGCAUAUACCCACUUGCAACCAAUUGUCUUCUUUCCUUUAGGGAGUUGUACCAAAUCCCAAGUCUGAUUCUUGUGGAGAGAUUUCAUCUCUUCAUCCAUUGCCUCUUUCCAUUUUGCACUUUCUACACUCUGUACUGCUUCUUUGUAGGUGUAGGGGAUUCCAUCAUCAAUCACCGGAAGUGCGUAAGCAACCAUGUUACAAUACCGAGCAGGUUUCUUGAUGACCCUUUUUGGUUUACUCGUUGCAAUGGAUUCUUGUUGUGUGGUUGCUGGAGUUAUUGCAUCCUCUUCAUCUGAACUUUCAUCUGAAUCUCCUUCAGUAGGGAUUGUCUCUGAAUCUCCUUCAGUAGGGAUUGUCUGAACAGUCUUUAUAGGAAUGACUGAAGUCUCCAACUCCACCUGUUGUGCAUCACCAGACUGUUUUUCCUUCUCCUGUGAUUUCUCUUGCUGUAACAUGCCAGACUCAUCAAAAGUGACAUCUCUACUCAAGAUCACUUUCUUUGAUUCAGAACACCAGAGUCUGUAGCCUUUUACUCCUCCACUAAAGCCCAAAAAUAUAGCUUUCUUGGCUCUAGGAUCUAGCUUGGACUCAGUAACAUGAUAAUAUGCUGAGCAACCAAAUAUACGCAUAGAGUCAUAAUCAUUUGCAGGAGAGCCUGACCAUACCUCUAAGGGGGUUCUUCCAUUUAAUGCUGCUGAAGGUAAUCGGUUAACAAUAUGACGAGCAUAACUUAAGGCCUCGCCCCAGAACACUUUGCUUAGUCCCGAAUGUGAUAGCAUACAUCGGACUUUCUCCACCAAUGUGCGGUUCAUGCGUUCCGCUACUCCAUUCUGUUGUGGUGUUUUGCGAACAGUAAAAUGUCGCUUGAUCCCUUCAUCCUGACAAACUUCAAAGAAAGGAUCUGAAGUGUACUCACCACCAUUAUCUGACCGAAGAGUCUUAACCCUCCUUCCAGUUUGAGUCUCCACCAUUUUCUUCCAUUUCAGAAAGAUAUCAAGGACCUCAUCCUUGUGUUUCAUCAUGUAAACCCAUACUCGUCUUGAGAAAUCAUCAAUAAAAGUAACAAACCAACGAUUACCUCCAAGAGAUUCAUUCUUUGAAGGUCCCCAUACGUCUGUGUGAACAUAAUCUAGGAUCCCUUUUGUGUUGUGUACUGCAGUGCCAAACUUGACCCUUGUCUGUUUUCCAAGAACACAAUGCUCACAGAACCCAUGCUUCCCAGUCUUGGCGCCUUUUAAUAGACCUUGCUUGACUAAUCCUUGCAAAGCCUUUUCACCAGCAUGCCCUAAGCGCAUGUGCCAAAGUCUGGAAUUAUUUGCUUCAUCAUCUUCUAUGCUCUUGGAGACAGCUGCUGUACCAGUAACUGUAGAUCCAUCCAGGAAAUAUAAGUUUCUUAUCCUCGUGCCUCUUAAGACAACUAAUGCACCACGGAUUGCUCUCAAGACUCCACCAUACAUGAUAAUCUUAUAACCACUGGAUUCUAGAACUCCAAGUGAGAAGAGAUUUUUCUUCAAGUCAGGUACAUACCGUACAUCUGUUAGUGUCUUGACUACCCCAUUAUGCAUCUUCAGAUGGAUAGUCCCAAUCCCUUUGAUCUCACUCACAUCAUCAUUACCCAUCAACACACCUCCUCCAUCGAACUCCUCGAGUCUCGAGAAUAAGUGUUUGUUAGGGCACAUGUGAUAGGAACAUGCAGAAUCAAGAACCCAUUCACCAGAAUGGUUUUCUGGUGAUGAGACCAUGAAUGCAGAGUCUUGUUCAUCCUCAUCUCGUGCAACGUUCACAAUUGGUUCAUCUUUUUCCUUGUUGCCCUUGAUUGGACAAUCUUUCUUCCAGUGCCCUUUUUUGUGACAAAAGGCACACUCAUCUUUUGCAAGAUAUUGUCUGUUUGAUGAUUCUCCUCUGGAUUUUGAGCGAGAUCUCCCUCGCCCUCGAAAUCUUCUGGGUUUGUUCUGCCUCUAACAGUCAAUGCUUCUGAUGUUGACUCCUUGUGAACAAUUUGGUCCUUCUUCCGAUACUCAUUGUUCACCAAAGCAUUGGACACAUCAAUGAAUUUAAUCUUUUCUUUACCAUACAGUAAAGUGGUGACAAGAUGUUCAUAUGUGUCAGGCAGUGAAUUUAAUAACAGUAGAGCUUUAUCUUCAUCAUCAAUUUCCACAUCUAAAUUCUUCAAAUCAGCUAUCAUUUUAUUGAAAUCAUUCAGAUGCUCAUUCAUAGAAGUACCUUUCUUGUGCUGAAAACGGAAGAUCCUUUUCUUCAAGUAGAGACGAUUCUCUAUACUCUUCUUCAUAAACUUGUCCUCCAGUGCUUGCCAUAAUUCCUUUGCAGAGUUUUGUUCUGAAAAGGCGUACUUCUGAUCCUUUACAAGACAAAGUCGGAUGGAACUGCAAGCCAACCGAUUUAUCCUUUCCCAGCUUUUAUCAUCCAAAUCCUCCGGUUUAUCUUCUAAAGUGAAAUCCAAAUUCAUUUGGACAAGCAUAUCCAUGACUUCACAUUUCCACAUGCCAAAAUUACCUUUCCCAUCAAACUUCUCCACCUCAAAUUUGGUAUUCGAUACCGGGAUGUAUUGUGGAGGUAUACUAGCAUUCCCCGCUGAUUUUUCUUCUGGAAUAUCAGCCAUUAGGACGUCUUUGGAUUACAAAUGGAAUCCCGAAAUUGUUAAAACACACACUUUUAUGCUCAAAAGUGCCAAAACAGUAACUUCGGUAUGCUGUUUAACAGAACGGACACCACGGUUGCGUCCGGAAUGGUUGAAAAUGCUAGGAACCAACUUGACUCGGCCAAAAACGGGUCAAAAAAUCACUGAGUUGGCCAAAAAACCAAUCUGACCGAGUUGACUCAGGGAAGGAAUAUUCUGUCUCUGAUAAAGAAUAUUCUGUCACGGGAAUAUUCUCUUACUGGUAACGGAAUAUUCUUAUUCUGUCAAGAGAAUAUUCUGUCACUAUUAGAUGACAUGGCUGAUGACAGGGCGAUGUGGCCCCUCUGUUGAUGACGUGGAUGAUGACUCAGCGCCUACGUGUCGGAUGACGUGGCUGUCUUCUCAGGCGAGAAUUCCGGCACUGUCUGGUUUUUCCGGCAGAUUUCCGGCGAAACUUCGGCGAGCUCUACAGGGCUCGUUUCAACUCCGAUUGCGACGAUAUUUAUAUCGCCGGACUCGUAUGGACGAGAGGAAUCUCCGCAGCUGGUCAAAAGCAAGAUCUGAGAACUUUGAAAAUUCUGCAACUUUGAACAAGAUUCUGUUAUAAUGAGGACACCUGGGUUUCAAGAUUCUGUUUCAUCCCUUGUAAUAAAGGAAAUCUUCAAUUCAAUAUUGAGCUGAAAUGAAUAAACUAGCAUGAGAGGCUUUUAGAAGGAGAUAUACCAAGAAUUGCUGCACAUCCUAUGCAUCUGCACUUAAACUAUGAAUCCACACUGAUCAUGCUACAAAAACUUAAACUAUCAACUACACAGAGUUCUUCACAGUGAACUCUUGAAGAAUCCUCCGUGCAGCCUGGAUUACAAGGGGGUAUAUUCUUGUUUUGGUACAAAACCCCCAGCUAACAAAAUUUCCUUUGAAGCAAGCACUGAAACACUUGAGGCAAAAACACGAACUUUAUGACAGAUUUCAAAGUAGUAUGUUGAGUUUGGGCAAUUGAUCAAAGAACUUGACAUUCUAUACAGGAAAGAGAAGUUGUUAAAUGAAAACAGCUUUAUUUAACUAUAUGUUCCCUAAAAUAGUUCUCACUGUCAAAUAUAUCGGGAUUGGCUCGAAUGACAUGAUAUAAAGUUGAGACUUUAUGUGAAUAUGCAGUUUUUAUUUACUGUAAAAUCAAUUUUAAGUACCUUCUCAAUGUCUUGUAAUCCAGUUGAUGGACAAUCGAAGAAAGGAACCAGUAAGUUCAAAUUGCGUGAAUACAACUUGGUACCUGAUAAAAAAGCAAGGGGAAUGAAGAUUGAAUUCCAAGUAAUGCAAGCAGACUCUUACAGACUUUCAUGGAACAAUUAGAGACGAGAAUUUGAUUGAAUAUAGUUUCAGAUCAGUUAGGGAUCUCUUCAGUAUCUGAUGAUUUGGCAUAAAUGAAACAGCUGAAGAUGUCUAAUCACAUAAAAGCUCAAAAGUUUUUACCUUGGAAUUUAACGGUUGGAUCUUCAAAGAUACAAUCCUCAUCAUAAAUUGUUGACGUGAAAACCCCUGCUUUUAAUAAAUAAUAGAGCAUUAAUUAGCAUGGGCAACUGUAUGAGUAAUUUGGUGCUAAAGGAGUAAUUAUCUGGAUCUUCUAUUGAGAGUAGGGUUGAGAUUUUCAUGGAAUCAUACCCAAUGCAAUCCCAAAACUCAUGCUUGAGAAUAAAAUGAAAACAAAACUGCAAUUUUGUUAAGCCUGAAUGAAAAAGAAAGUUCAAGCCAAAACCAGACAAGGCUACAAAGGAAGUGGCAGUAACCCAAAACAGGAAAGAAGAGUAAUAUCCAAAAAAAAAGAAAGUCAACAACCCAAAAACAAAGACAAAAAAACAUGUAGGAACAAGAGAGAAGGUCAUUCAGCAGCAAGAAAAUGGUCUCUGGCAAGAUCUAAAUAGACAAACUGUUAUGGGAGAAAUACUUACGGUGCCUAUCUGCAUUGGAUUCAGCAGCAAGAAAAUGGUAUAAUGGGCCAUUUUUACAUAUUGCGCUCUGUUGUAAAACAUUGGGUUGUGUGCGCGGCAUUUAACUAGGCCUGCUCCAUGAGACAGAUUUUUCUACACGGGCCUUUAAGGCCCUUUGCUUUACACAGUUAGCCGCAGUCUAAGCUGAAAAAAAAAAUGCUUGAAACGCAGACAAAUGGGUCAAGUUGUAACCCACAAAUCAAACGGUUAGAAUCCAAUUUUCUUAAAGCCACUUUGUUUGUCUUUGAAAAUCAAUUGUUGGAAUUUUAAUAUUUUUAAAACAAAAACAGAAAUGAUUCUUAAGAAUCAAAAUUCUCGUUUUUAAUUUGCCAGUACCAUUAUUCCUUAUAUAUGCUCUUAUUAAUGACCAAUAAUUAGUCAAAUUUAAAGAAUUCAAUGAGUGAGGAAAACAUUAGAAAAAACAAAGGAAACGAUUGUCGGAUGUGAUAUUCAUAAGAUAAGUUUAUUUUGAUAUGAAUAUUUAUUAUUUUAUAUUUUUCAGUACUUUAAUAAAAAAAGAUUAUUGAAAAAAUUAGUAUUAGAAAUAGAAAAUUAAUGAUUGGAACCGAUUUCAGUGACAAAAAAUAUCGGUAUUGAUGUUAAGGGUAUUUUUAUCAAAAUAAAAAAUAGCUAAAAUUUCAAAAUAUAUUAUUUUUUAAAUAAUUGUAACAAAAUACAUAAUCUAAAUAUGUGUGCGAAACCAAAUUAACAAUUAAAGAUACAAAUAUUGAAUUCUUUGUCUUUUUUCUUCAUCCUUCUUUAAUGUUAGGAUUUUUGUAUUUUUUUUAGAUUUUUUUCUUCAUUUGAUUUAUAUGACUUCCCGUGAUCACCUACAAUUGCAAGAGAAAGAAAGUAUAACCAAUCAACCUGCAAUUAAAGUAGUUCAUCAUGCAAUUAAUCUCGGGUGUGACUUGUGAGAAAAUAGAUAGAUUGAACAUUUCUUUUAAUCUAUAAAUUUAUUAAUAGAUAUAUAUAUAUAUAUAUAUAUAUAUAUAUAUAUAUAUAUAUAUAUAUAUAUAUUUUAGUUAUUACCUGUUGGUGGUAGAAAAAGACGCGGAAAACAACAGCCCACAUGUCGGAAGUGAGAAUAGAUAGGUUGAACAUUGUGGCUCUACUUAACUACUGUACACAUUAUAAUUUCAUCACAAAACGUUUUCCAUAAAUACUUUAUCAUUGUUAUCAAUAUCUCGAUGCAUGAAUGAGUUUCUGUUUUCAAUAAUAUCUCUGUGUUUAUGUUGUUAAAGAGAAAUAUAAAAUAAUUCUUGAAAUCUUAAUACGAUUCUUUGUUAAGCCCACAGAUUAAUUCAAUUCGUUAAAUUCUUUGUUUCUGUACUUGUACAAUUAAAGAUAGAUAUACUGAAUUCUUUGUCUUUUUUCUCCAUCCUUCUUCAAUGUUGGGAUUUUUAUAUUUUUUUUUAAUUUGUCAUUUGAUUUAUUUUGAACCCAUAUUUGUAAUAUGUUUCAAUUUGAUUCGUAAUAUGGUCUCGUAUGAACAUCUUUAAUUAGCAUUUGCUAUUUUAUAUGACUUCCCAGUUCCCACACCGGAAUCUGUGGCUAAUGAAGGGGAGCAUACUAACUACUGAAUUUCCAAGUACUUCAUGAUGCAUCUACUCUAUCAACUAGCAAGUUCAAACCCAAUGAGCACGAUAAACGUGUUAUUGGUUGGUGAAGCUUUCAUGGCAUAUACAGAGAGGCCUCCAAUGCGACAGUUUGUGACAUUUCAUGACGGAUUCAUUGUUUAAGUAAAGAAACAAAGAAAAGAAAAGAAAGGUUGUCUCGGAUCAUUCAACCACGAUAAAAAAAAAAAAGAGCUACAAAGCUGUCAAAUUUAGGAAUGUGAAAGCAAAGAAAACCACAAUAAAGCUGCACUAGAAAAAAGGAAAAAGAAAACCACAAUAAAGCUGCACUGGAAAAAAGGAAAAAGAAAAACCACAAUAAACGUUAUUGGUUAUGAUACGUUCCGUCCACUUGACUAAAGAAAAAACAAAGAGAAAUGACUUCCCUGAGACCCCAUGGCACAAUCUGGGGCCAAGGGAGUUCACCAACUGUUGAAUCUCCAUGUUCAUGAUGCAUCAAGUCCAUUCGGAAGUUUAAACCCAAUGGGCACGAUAAACAGGUUGAGGCUUUCAUGGAAUAAUGAUGCAACUCUAGUGAAGUAUAUAUUUUUUUUUUAGUUUAACGUGGGUGUCUGGGCCAGCUUGCGCGCACCUCGACUAAUCUCACGGGUCCUGAAGUUAACGAUCAUGUAAACCUUCAGUGACCAUCAUAUGAUCAACCACAGGACUCGAACCUGAGACCAUAGAAGGAGCAAACCUCUUAGUUCCAAGCUCUUACCACUGGAUCACCACCUAAAUGGUUUAGUAAAGUACUUUUUAACAUGACAAGUUGUGACAUUUUUUGGUUGAUGCAACUCUAGUAGUGACGUAUUUUUUAAAAAUUAUUUUAAUUUAAAAACUUAAGUUAUGAGAUAAAGUUAUAAGAAUAAUUUUAUGUUACUCUCUAAUAUAAUUUCUCAAGUAAAAGUUAUUUAGACUUAAAAGUAUCUUCUCUUUAAUUUUAUUAAUUAAAAUAAGAUUAUUAAGAUUUAGAUUUAUAAUUAUUUGGUUAUCAAGAUCUCAUUAUCAUGUCAAAUAAUUAUUCUAACAAAAAAACUUAAGCUAUUAUAUAAAUUCUUAUGAAUAAUUUUAUAUUAUUUUCUAAUAUUAUUUAAUUUUAUGAAGCAUAAAAACAACUUGCAUCAGAUCCACCGGCCAUGAUAUAACAGGUAUAGCUUGUCGGUUUAUAAAUUCUAGAAAGUUACACCCUCGAGAAGAUUUCCUUAGUCAACGAGUCAAUGUAUAGAUAUCCAUGGCGUUACAAUCCCUUUUUUACCUUCAAUUUCUCUAUGUGUUUACAAAAUUAUAUUUUCAGAAAAAAUUAAUUUUUUUAUAUUUAAUUUAAUUAUGUUGAUAAUAAAAAAGAAAGAAAAAGAGUUUAUGGUUCGAAAUUAGAGGAAAGAAAUAAAAUUAGACUAUUGUGAUUAGGGACUAAAAAUAAUGGAUUGUAACACAAUAUUAUGAAAUGUUUUUCUUUUUCAUUGUAAAAUAUAUAUAGAGAUGAGAUAUAAAAUGAUGCAGUAGAUAUGGAUUCUUGUAAUUUUAUAUUACAAGAAUAAAUGAAAAAUAAAUGAUAGAUAUUUCUAAGGCAAUCAAGCAUUUACUUUCUGAAUUUAAAGAGAUUCCGCUAGAUGGAUUGUUGUUAAUGAGAGGUAUUCAACAUUAGAUAAUUCUGGUGCGAAGAAAUACUUUUAAAUUUGCCACAUUACAGACUUAGUUAUGAGGGUGAGAAUUGAGGAGAAGGUAGAAAAGCUACAGAGAAAAGGUAGAUUCAAUACCACUAUUACAAAACCCAAAUUGGGCUAACUCAAGUAACUUAGCUAGAAACCCAAGCUGACGUGAUGACUUAGUAAAACCUGAGCAGAAAAACCAUUGACUUUUUUUAAAAUAAUAUUUUUAAAAACAACUUUUUUUAUUUUAUUUUUUUUAAAAUAGGGUUAAUAUGGAUUAACCCAUGAUGUAUGUCUUAUUCUAGUUGACCCUAACUUGACCUUAAUAACUAUGAAAAUAACCAUGAUCUGUGUGAAAGGCAUAAAAAUACGACAUCCUCACUAGCAAUUUGCGAAGGCAACACUGAGAAAAAUAUCAUGAAUUUUGAGUAAUGAAACAAUAUUAAAUAUUAUCACACUAGGUAUGUUUGUUUGUUGAUGAGUCAGAUAAGUUUUUGGGUAAAUUAAACCUUCAUUUACCUAUCUGUAUUGUUCUUAUAUAAUCCAUGUGAAUUUGGACAACCCGAGACCAAUUAAUUGAUUUGGAAAGGUAGAGCAAAGAUUAUUUAGAAAUUUCAGAAUGAAAGAUUCCUAUACCUUGCAAUUCCAAUUAAUUCAGAGAGACCGCGAUUAAUUAAGCAUUAUUUCUUCACCGAUUCAAUUAAAGGAGAGAAAACUGAUGCAAAAGAUUUAAAAAACAAAAUACUUUUUCUUAGUUUUUUUAUUUUUUUAUUUAGUUUAGAAAUGAGCUACGGAUUUUGAACAAAUGAGCCAAUAAUUAGUAAGGGUGAACCCUUGCAUAAAUUGGGGAUAUAGAGAUGUUGCUUGUGCUUACUGUUGAGCGAAGAAGAGAGAAUCCAAAGGGGACAACGUCUUGCAGCCCUGAUCAUGGGAAAAGCACACACCAGGAAAAACACAGGUACCCAAGUUGCCAAAAUGACUCCAUUGGAAUGGUGGUGCCUGUGGACCCUGACUAUUGCACUAGAACUUGCAAGAAGAAGCACUCUGGUAGUAUUAGAGCUGUGCCCGAGAACAUAUGAUGGAGUUCUUCCUAAUCCGUGCCUAUUAAUAUCUUAGUUGGGUUUGCUGGGCCAAGUUAUUUUGAUGCAUUUAUUUAUUAAUUAAAGAGAGAUGUGCAUGUUGAUAUAUUAUUAGGGUUUGUGGUGACAACUGAUUUAGAUGCAUUUAUAUAUUAAUUAAAGAGAGAUCAAAUUAAUAACGUGUUUUUAUAUGCGAAUAAAAACUAAAUUUUAAAAAAUAAUAAAUUAUUAUUAUUUUAAUAUAUUUUCAAAUAAAAAAAACUUCAUAAAAUAAAUUACAAUCUCAAAUACUAUCUAUGAAAAUAUAAUAAAAUAAAAUCUUAGAAAUUUCUUGUAUUGUUUUUUGAAAUUACUUUUAUCAUAAUUUCAGUGUCAAUCUCAUCUAAUUAGGACAUUGAAGGAUGUAAUUAAAGCGACAAAAAAGUUUGAGACUGAGAAAAAAACUUAUGGUGCUUUUCUAUUAAUAUAAAUAGUGAAGCAGCAUAAAAAAAAACCAUAGUUAUUUUAGAAUUGUAGAUAAUUAUUUUUUUUUUUCUGCUUUCUGUUUUCGUAAUUUUUUGUUCUUCUUUGCUUUUUCCUUUUUGGUAUCUUUGUUCUUCUUUGCUUUUGGUUUUUUGUAUCUUGCUUUUCUUCAAGAUUAGCUGUUCUUAUUAACAAGUGGUGUCAUUUGCUUUCUGUGUUUUGUAAUUAACAUGCUAUAUAUUAAUUAUUUUUUAGAUCUAUUUUAAAGAAAAAGAAUAAAUACAAAUAGAAGAGAUAAUAAAUCCUACAUGUAGAAGUACAUGCAUGGAACAAUUUUUGAUCCACUGUUUUAACCUGUCAGAAGACUAUUAUCUUGAAAUUGUAAACAACUUUGUAAAGCAACUGAGGGAGUUGAAGAGUAUAAUAUUCUAAAAAUUGUAAACAACUUUGUAAAGCAAACAACUUUUUAGCAGCUGGAUUCAAUUAAUCAAAAUGUUCUUAAACUUUGCCCAAAAUUCUUCACCGACAUGAUAACGCUCCCACUAUUUUUUUGGGGUCUACGAAGCGAUGUUUUCUUAAGAAGAUGCUUCCAUGAAACUACGUAUCGCUAAAAACUCCUAAAUGAUUUUUUACCUUGACGAUAAAUUAAUAUCCUACUCCCACUCCACACUUCACGGCCUCUAGACAUGAGCAACCUUUUCAAUUUUCAUUCCUUCUUGGAAAUCACCUCGCAGGCUGGACCCUAACCUAUGAUUUUUAAAGCCGAAUAAGGUACUAAAAUAAAAAAUAAAAACCAUGAGAAUAUAUGGUUGACAGGGUCAAUUAAAUUAAAAUAUUGUUUUAAGAUUUUUUUGAAAAAAAAUGAAACAACAUUUAUAAAAAAAAUUAAAAAUCAAAUUUAAUCUUGAUAGGGUUGAUCAAUUCUCUAAUUUAUCCAUAAAAUCUAUUGGAUUGCAUCGAUCAACUUCUAUCUAAUUUCAUUUAAAACUUAAUUCAAACUAAAUUAUUAAUUAAUAAGUUAUUAGAUUGUUCUACAAAAGCGAAACAGUUUUCAUAACAUGCUUUCUAUAUUGGGUUAAUAGGAAGCUACCAUAUGAGUUCCGUUAGUUCACAUAAAAAAAACAUUGGUGAAUAUAACAAAAAAAUAAAUAAAUGGUUUUUAAUUUAUUUAAUUAAAUUUUUAUCUAGGCUUUUCAAAUGAUACUUUUCAUUUUCCAUGUAAAAAACACAUUGGAUGAACCUGCAUACUUAAUGUUGUUUUUAUAAAAAAUUAUAUCAUGCAUGCCAAAUUUAUGAUUUUAAUGUAUUUUUUUUUACUUGUUUUUUCUUUACUUUUUUUUCUAGAAAAAAAUAUUAUUUUUUAGUUCUUUAAAUUUAGCAUGUUUAUACUUUUUUUUGUUUGUUUUUUUAUUUUAUAAUUUAUUUUUUUCUUGUUUUUGAAGAUUUAUUCUACAUGGACUAAAGAAAUAAUGUUUUAUUAUGUCAAUUGCAAUAUUAUUUUAUUUUUCAGCUACAUUAAAAAUUAACUUAUGAUUUUAUAUAUUUUUAUUAAUAUAUAUGAUUUUUAUUAUAUAUAAGCAUCGAAUUUAUGAUUUAUAAUCAUAUUUUUUAUUUAAUAUAAAAAAAUAUAUUAAUAAUAUUUGCAUAUUAAUUAUUUUAUAUUAAAAAAAUUAUUCAACACAUUAAAUCAACCAGAAUAUUUAAUAUAUUAACUUAAGUCCAUGAUAGCAUAACACUGACCGACUAUAAUAUAAUAUAAUAUUCUAAUUUACAUUUUUAACUUUCCACGAAACUUCCUCUAUAUAAUAUAAUAUUCUAGUUUACUCGUGUAGUCUUCGCCAAUGUCUUCACAUCACAUGCCUUGCUUUGCUGUUAAUUGUAAGAGAAUAUAUAACCAGUAACCUUAACCAUCCCUUUACUCUUCAACCAACCUUUCCAAGUCGUUACACAAAUUGCUGUACCGUGUCUUAAUAUGGCUUCCAUGUUCUUUGAGACCGGCUCCUCCUUCUCUUCUUCUUCGUUCUUUGAGACCGGGUCCUCUUCUUCAUCCUCUUCCUCCUCUCUGCCCAGAAAAACGCAUGAUGUCUUUCUGAGUUUUAGAGGAGAAGAUACUCGCAGGAAUUUUACUGAUCAUCUAUAUAAUGCUUUAGUCCAAGCAGGAGUCCACACAUUUCGAGAUAAUGAUCAUCUUCCUAGAGGGGAAGAAAUCUCCUCACAGCUCCUCGAAGCAAUUCGUGGAUCCAAGAUUUCUAUAGUGGUUUUCUCCAAGGGCUAUGCUACUUCCACAUGGUGUCUUGAAGAGCUGGCAAAUAUUAUGGGGUGCAGAAAAAAAAAACAUCAAGUUGUUCUUCCUGUUUUUUACGAUAUUGAUCCGUCUGAUGUUCGAAAGCAGAAAAGGAGUUUUGCAGAAGCUUUUCAAACGCAUGAACAUUUUUUUAAGGAAGACAUGGAGAAGGUCAACAGGUGGAGAAAAGCUCUAAGAGAGGCUUCAACUCUCUCUGGGUGGGAUCUCAAUACUAUGGCAAAUCGGUAUGUCUUUUCUUUCAACAACAAGUCAGUUUUUACCAAUCCAAGCCUGAUAUAGUCUAUCCCUAGACAAUACUUAAUUACUUGUUAGCUUUGAUUUCCAAUAUCUAAUUGGAGGGACCAACUUUUUUUUUCCUUCUUCUUUUUUUAUAUGAACAGGCACGAAUCAGAUUUUAUCCGAAAUAUUGUGAAAGAUGUGCUUGGUAAAUUGUGUCCUAAACGUCUAUUAUAUUGUCCUGAGCACCUUGUGGGUAUUGAUUCUCACGUUGAUAAUAUUAUUGCCCUACUAAGAAUUGUUACAGAUGAUAGUCGCAUUGUGGGCAUACAUGGAAUGGGCGGGAUAGGUAAGACAACUCUAGCAAAAGUUUUAUUUAAUCUGCUCGACUGUGAAUUUGAGGGAAGUACUUUUCUUUCUACCGUCAGUGACCGUUCAAAAGCCCCCAAUGGUUUGGUUCUGUUACAAAAACAGCUGCUUUGUGAUACUUUGAAAACAAAAAAUAUUGUUACGAUCAAUAAUGUAGACAGGGGAAUGAUUUUAAUCACAGAAAGACUCCGUUGCAAAAGAGUUCUUGUUGUUCUUGAUGAUGUGGAUAACGAGUAUCAAGUUAAAGCAUUGGUGGGAGAAAAUAGGUUUGGUCCUGGAAGUGUAAUAAUGGUUACAUCUAGAAAUGAGCAUUUGCUUAAUCGAUUUACAGUGCAUGUAAAAUAUGAGGCUAAACUGUUGACACAAGAUGAGUCCCUUCAGCUUUUCAGUCGCCAUGCCUUUGGGACGACUCAUCCACCGGAAGAUUAUGCAGAGCUUUCCAAUGAUGUAUUAAAGUGUGCUUGUGCGCUUCCUUUAGCUCUUGAAGUUUUGGGUGCUUCUUUGUUCGGAAAAAACAAAUCUGAAUGGAGAAGUGCUAUUGAAAAACUGCGAAAAACUCCAGAUCAUGAUGUCCAGGCAAAGCUUAAGAUAAGUUAUGACGCACUGGAUGAUGAUAUACUAAAAAAUAUAUUCCUUGAUAUUGCAUGUUUCUUCGUUGGCAGAAACAAAGAAUAUGUGUCAACCAUACUACAUGCCCGCUAUGGUUUCAAUCAAGAAAUCAAUUUAACAAUUCUUGUUCAAAGGUCUCUCUUAGAAGUUAAUUUACAGAAUCAAUUAAGGAUGCAUGAUCUAGUAAGAGACAUGGGAAGAGCGAUAGUUUAUCAAAUGUGUCCCCAACAUCCUGGAAAGCGCAGCAGAAUUUGGCUUCAUGAGGAAGCAUGGGAAGUGCUCAACAUGAACAUGGUAAGAUGCAUUGCUGUAGUCUUGUGCGCAAAUUCACAAAGUCUUAUAUGUAUUUCCUGUUGAGCUUGUUUUCAAAUAAUUUUAACAAAAUAAUUUUGCAUAGGUCUACUUCCAAACCAUGAUAUAUGUCGUUCUACUGAAAUUUCUUGCUUUUGUUAGGGAACAAAACAAGUGGAGGGUCUUGUGCUAGAUGUUCAAACUUCAAAUGCUGAACCUUUAAGAACAGAAUCAUUUAAAAACAUGAAAUAUUUGAAAUUACUCCAAAUCAAUGGAGUUCGUCUCAAAGGAUGCUACAGACAUCUUCCCAUAGGGAUUAUAUGGCUUUGUUGGCAUGGAUGCUCUUUGAGAUCUUUUCCACCUAAAUUUCACCUGGACUCUCUAGUUGUUCUUGAUAUGCAGUACAGUAACAUCAAAGAACUGAAGGUACAGACUAUGUAGCAUGCCCCACAAAAUUAUUCCUCAUGCAGCUUAAAUUACUUAAACAACAUUUUUUUUCAUUGUUAAUUCUUUCUCAUUUUCCUCACUGUUUUGACAGCCUCUCAACAAUCUGAAAAUCCUCAAUCUCAGCAAUUCUAAGUUUGCUAAAACACCAAACUUCCUAGAUGUCUCUAGACUUGAGAGACUAAUACUUGAAGAUUGCAGAAAUUUAGCUGAGGUGCACCAGUCUGCUGGACAUUUGAAGGUACUUGUUCACUUGAGUUUGAAAGGAUGUUACAGCCUAAAUAAUCUUCCAGAAAGCAUUUGCAACUUGAAAUCUCUUGAAACUCUAGACAUUAGCAUGUGCUCGAGGCUAGAGAAUUUACCAGAGCACUUGGGUGUAAUGGAAUCCUUAACUGAGCUGCUAGCUGAUGAAACUGCAAUAAGGCAACUUCCCUCAUCAGUUGGACAAUUGAAGAGACUCAGAAAGUUAUCAUUGAGUGGAUGCAAUAGCAAGCAAGACUCCCCGUUUACUUCUUGGCUUUCACUAAUUUCAUCAUGGCUUUCACCAACGAGUUCAACCUCCAAAGUUUUGCUGCCAGCUUCUCUUAGUAGUUUAAGCCUAUUGAGAGGACUAGAUCUUAGUUAUCGUGGAUUAUCUGAAGGUGAGAUUUCCAUAGAUCUCGGGAGUUUGUCCUCUCUCCAAGAAUUGAAUUUGUCCGGAAACAAAUUCUUCAAUCUGCCUUCUAGCAUUGGCCUCCUUCCCAAGCUUAACUAUUUACUGGUUAAGGACUGUACAAAUCUUCUAUCAGUUCCGGAGCUCCCACCAAGUUUAAUGGAACUGGAUGCUGUUAAUUGUUCGGCGUUGGAGAGACUGACAAUUAAUUCAAAAAGAAUCCCAUCACUGUAUGUGAGUGGGUGCAAAAAUUUAAUAGAGAUUGAGGGUAUGGAAGGUAUGGGUAAGAGAUGGGUCAUUGUAUCUGAAGACCGGAGCAAUUUAUCAAAUAAUUUGAAGCAGAGUCUUGUUCAGGUUCCUCUCUCUCCCCCCCCCCCCCCCCCCCACACACACACACACACAAGUCUCACGCAUAUGAAUGUUGAUUAGGUCUAAAGUUUUAGCUUUCCUUAAAACAGGCAUUAUGCAAGGGUGAAGAGUAUGACAUUGUCAUUGCUGACGGUGAGAUGCCAGAAUUGUUCAGCAAUCGAGGAGAAGGAUCUUCAUUAUCAUUUCACAUACCUCCAGGUUCAGAUGGUAAUAAAAUCCAAGGGCUGGUUGCUUGGGUUGUCUGCGCCAUCGAUGGAAACAUAUCUGCUUAUCUGCGGGGAGAGGCUGUUAUAAAAAAUAAGAGCAACGGUGUUCAAUUGUUUAAAAGAUCAAUAAUGUUGUUUACGAUGAGCACAAAUUCAAGCAACCAGUGUUCUUGGGUAAACCACAUAUCACUGGCUGCACUUGAUCCGAAUGCAAUGAAAGCUGGAGAGGAAUUGGAGCUAUCUGUUGAAGUAAAACAUACCUCUUUCGAAGUACAAAAGUGUGGAGUCCAUAUGAUAGUAAAGAAGCCAGAAGUUGAAUAGUUUGGUGACAGCUAAAGAACUGUUCCCCAUCAUGCUGACAAUAUCAUACCAUCUCUUCCCCUGUCCUUGUUCAUUCUGUGUGUUCAGAAACUCAAGAAUUGGCUGUGUGGCCUCAUCCAAUUAAUAGGUCUCGAUGACCUGAAAGGAAUUAGAGUUCAUAUUCGUUGUGUUACAAGUUAAAGAAAGGAACUGGCGAAAGUUAUUCAUGUGAUGAGGUAAGAUGCUUGCAUUAAAUAAAAUAUUACAUGAUAACUAGAAUAAUGUAUCGAAAUCUUGUUCACGUGUUCUCUGUAUUUUGUCAGCCUGAAUUUUGUGUCCUUUUCCUACAGAAAAUAAACUAAUUCGACGCCCCAUCGGUUCAUUAUUUCCAUUAGUUUGACUGGGGCAACUAUCUCCUCCUGGACUCCAGUGAGCUCUACGCUUGGCAAAACCAGAGUGACUUUUUUAGUUUGUCUCCUUAAAUAGAGAAGAUAAAAUUUUUAUACAAAUUGGAAUACCAUAGAUUAAACUGGCACAUUUGAGCACCUGGAAACCACCAUAUUGUAAGCUGUAUGCCUUUACUGUUAUCACUUUCUGAGCUGCAAAUCAAAUUAAUUCCUAAUUAUGAUGAACAUGACUGCACCGCUUUAAUUAGUCCUUCUAGUCUGUUUUAUUGAUGUGAAUUUCCGAAUUUGGAAGUGAGGACAUAUAUAUUCAUCAGCUAGUACUACAACCAAUUUACUAGUUGAAUUUCUGAUAGACGCUCUCUUCUUUUGAUAUUACUUGAUCUAUACAAUUCUUUAACUCAGGAUUUUCAUGUUCUUAUCUACCGUCCUCUAACCCCAAAAGACUGGAGAUGGAUCCUGGUGUGUGUCAGUGGAACCGAAAGAAAUGCGUGCAGCUUCUCCGCUGAAUAUUUUUGCUCCUCCUUUAGAAAGCUGAUGCACUUGUAGCCAUUCUCUCUUGAAGAUUUUGAAAAUGUCAUUUGCUACAAGAGCAGUAAUUUGAAUGCUGAAAAUGCUUUCUGCCCUUCAAAGAGACAACUACGAAUCUUUUUCAGCUGUGCUGGAAAGAACUCGACCAUUGAAGGCAAGCAGAAACUCUCUUGCUAUUCUGGAAAUUAAGUCUUUUUAAAUUUGGUUUCAUCUUUCUCUUCGGUGGAGCUCCUCUGGUACCACACCUUCAUGGUGCUAGCUAUUGAUGACUCAUGACUCUUGUUUUUUCUCUUAACAGAUAACAUUAACUAAUUGGACAGACUAUCUUUGUGAUUUCAUAGAGAUAACCAACAUAUAUUCGCUAUUUUUCAAUUCCCAUGAAUAGUUGGACAGACUAUCUUUGUGAUUUCAUAAAAAAAUCCCCGGGUAAACUUAUAUUAAUGGUCAACACAACACCACGGAUCAGGUCAUAUUUUUUUAAAAUAUAAAAAGAACAAAGUUAAAGUGAUACUAGAAUUUUAAAAAAAGUAAAAGAAAUUCCAAACUUAGGUCACUGAGUCAACUAAAUUUAAUAGUUAAUUUAAUAAUAUAAAAAAAAUAAUUUUAAUUUAAUAAAAUUAAAAAAAAUCCAAUUGCUAACUAAUAUAAUGUUGAGGGAUAAAAUCAGGAAAAAAUAAUUAAUCUAAGAAGCUUCUCAAUGUAUUUUCAAAUCUCAAUCUAAGCAACUCAAAUAAGAGGUAUUAUCUUAUCUUAUUUUGAGACAAAGAAAGAAGACUUGAAUGGAUCGAUCAUGAUAAAAACAAAGUCCAUCAGUGGUUUCAUCUCUUAACUUGAUUGAGCUAGAAAAUAAAGCUGAAAUACCUGAGAGCAUAAAGAUCCAUGUGUGGCUACUACUCGUUCAAGAUAUCAUGCCCACUGUUGGAAUGGUGUUCAAUUUGAAUGGUAGCAAAAGCAAGAAUUAUUUUAUUACCAUGCCCAUUAUUGGCCUCAAGGCAAAUUGAUAACCAUUGAUCUCUCUUUAGCAAAGGCACGCUUUGGAUUGAAGCUCAAUCACAACUUACUAAUUUUACUAGCAUAUUUGCCCGUAUCCGUGCUUUACAAUAUAUUAAUAAUAAUUUUUAUUUUAAAUAUAAAUAAUGUGGAAAAUAUUUUAAGUUUUUUAAAUAUGUCUGUGAAGCCAGACUCAAUCUCUUUAGAUUUAGAGGUAAAGCAAGACUGCAUUGGAUCUGAUUGUAAAACUAGAAACCAGACCUAAUAUAUUUAGAUGGGUCUGGCUGCGGAGUCAGACCCGAUAUCCUCGGGUCUGGAUCUGUAGCAAGACCUCAUAUAUUUGAAUUGGAUCUAUCUGCGGAGCCAAACGCAAUUUCCUUGAAAAAUAUCAAAAAAUAUUAAUUUAAAAUAAAAAAAAUAAAAAAAAAUUAUUUUUUUUAAAACUAUAUAUUUUUGAAACGCUUUAAUAAAAUAAUUUAACUCAACCUCAAAUAAAAUAAAAAUUAUCAAUCACCCAAAUAAAUGGUGUGGAACGUUUUGUGGAUGCGUUUAUAGAUAGAUCGAAAUGGCAAAGUUCAAGAAGAAGUUCAGACGCUUCAAAGGUGCAGUAUCGCAAAAAACAGCCAGAUACAACCGUGAUAUCGUUCUGAAAUUUGAUGAGAGGUUCUGUAGGCGAUGUUUUCUAUGGGAUAGCUCACUUGUACUAACUGAAAUAACGAAGUCCUUCAAAUUAGAAAUUAAAUCUGGAAGAUGCUGUUUUUUAUUUAUCUUUAUUUUUCUACUAGCUAUAUUAGAAUUUUAAUUAAUUUUUCUACUUUCAAUUUUUUUUUCUUUUCUAUAUAGACUGGGUUGGUUUUCGCUACUGUAUGACCAAUUAGUAUGUUAUUUUUCAGUAGAGAUUUAUGUAUUACUAACUUUCAGAAUAUUUUAUUUUUAAAUGUUGCCUUAGUUUUUUUUUAAUUAAUUUUAUUUUUUUAUCAAUCACUAUUAUUGCUUUUGAAACCAUUAAAUUGAUAGCUCAUAUCAAGUCAACACCGCAUGUUUUAGAUUUUUUUUCUACAAAAAAAAAUAUUAAUUACCUCUAAAUACUUUUUUUUAAAGAAAAAUUUAUCUGAACAGAAAAAAUUGCGCAGGCCAACUAUAAAGUCUAAACAAUACUUCCCCAUAUUGGCUUACUGUCUCUUUCUUUAAUAGAUUAACUCAUUAAUGCAUACAUUAAUUUGCUGGUAUUCAUGUUGACUGAACCAGGCUUCGUCUUCAAUCUGUAAAUGAAACAAUACUCCGCAAAUUUUAUUCGAUUUUUUAUACUUUGAAUUAUUUUAAAAAAAAAUAUUCAUAUAACAAAGAUCUUGAAAACCCACAAAUGAUCCCAUAAGUCCUGUUAAGAACACAACCCGUUCUAAAAUUAUUUUUCUUUUUCAUAAAAAAAAUAUUAUUUGUUUUUCUUAGCUAAUUAUAUUUCUUUUGCUUGAUUACUUUAAUGGAGCUUAUGGGAUAAAUUUAUCAUUUCUCUUUCUUAAUUAAAAUUUCAUUUUCUAAGCAUUAUCUUCUUUUACUAAUUGAAGGCUAAGUUAGAUUUAUUCAAUAUAAACACGAGCCAUGCGAGCUUGACAGCAAGUUAGUGCUAAUGUUAAUUGUAAACAAAAUGCAAAGUAAACGACUUAGUUUAUGAUGAAAUUAGUAGUAGUGAGAUUCAAUUAUUUAAACCAUCAUAUAAUACAAACUAAUUAGCCUGUUUUAAAACUUUGCAUAAAAUUCGAUCCUCGCUAACAUAACAAUGUUCAAACUAUUUUAUUUUUUUUGGUGUACGAAAGCAGAUAACUUGUUAAUAAGCUGCUUCCAAGAAACUACACAUCACCGAAACCAACUCCUAAAAUGAUUUUUUCUUUGAGGCUUGUCCUACUCGGUGCUUCAGUUAUGGGGCACGUCUCACGGUUACUAUCCCUCGCUGGAUGCCGUUACCAAGCCGGCCGUUACCACCGCAUGGCAUUCUCUGGCCUUAUAAAAGCCAGAGAAAGGCCACGAACUAGAUAAAAAAACAGAGGAAACAGGGAGGAGAGAGACAGAAAAACCAGGAGAGAGAGAGAGGGGGACAAACGAAAAACAGAGAACAUAAACAGAGAAAAACACUGGGGGAAGACGCAAACAAAGGAAAUUCCAAGGAAUUGGGGGGGGGGGGGGGUGUGGCUUUUCCAGAAGAGAAAACACUAGAGGACAGACGCAGGGGACGGAAGAAUAGCAGCAACACAAGGGACAGAAGAAGACCAGAAGAAAACCCAGGAACAAAAGGUAAGAGACAGACAAGAAACGAGGAGGGAGAAGACAUCGUCCGGCCAGAGCUAACCGGUCGUCACCAUCGUCUUCGUCUUUCACCUUUUGUAUUUUAAUUCACUAGCUGUGCAUACAAAUAUAAUUCACUUGGCUACACUUGUAAUUUUAAUUACUCUUGUAUUGUGCUGAGCGUGUGUGCGUGUUCCCUGCCCAGCCGGGUCACUGGCUUGGGCCAGUGACCUGGUCGGGCCGGGUGGGUUCAGUCCAGACCGUAUAGGAUGGGUCAGACUCGGCACAAAAAAAAAAAACCUGAGUCCAGGCUGGGCCUGAUCCUCAGCCCAGCUGACCUAAUCUGUUUUGGGCCAAAGGUGUGUUUAGCAAAACAGACGUUUAUAUCUUACCCUUUUAUUUUCACUUAUUUUUAUUUUGAUAUUUAGUCAAAUAGUUAUUUCUGGAUAUCUGAAAAUUCCAAAACAAUUCAUGGAUCUUUUUAAAUUUAUUUGUAGGUCACUUGUGUUUUUUUUUUUUUUUUUGUAUUUCACUAUAUAAUUAAUCUAUGGAUUUUUAUUGUGAAAUACAAUAUUAUUUUUUUCAAUAAUUAAUAUAUAUAUAUAUAUAUUUAAAUGUAUUUUACGGAGUGAGUAUUUCUUAGAUAGUUAUUGACGCAAAUGAAAACAGAAAAAUUAAAAAUUAAAAAACAAUUAAUAAUCAUGUCAAAUAAUCAAAAGAUUUUAUUAUUAAAUAUUUUCUUUUUAAAUGGUUUACUAAAAUAUAAGCUAAAAAAUCUUUUUUUAUAAUAGUUCUAUAGGCCUGUCAUAAAAAGGAAGGAAAUCCUAAUAAAUAAUUAUAGAGUUAUUCCAUGAAUUUUCUAAACUAAAUAAAAAAGAUAAAAUAACCAAGCGUAAUAUUAUUUUUUAUGGUGUAAUGAAAAGGAAAAAAAACAAACUAGCCUUCCCUACAUUAGCUAGUACCAAAGGAGAUAAGAAAUCCCUGGAGGAGAGGAAUCCUAAAUAUAAAACUCAAUCAUGUACUCUGCUCCCAUCUUGACUAAAUUUUUUUUUCUCACUGUUGAAAGCUUCCCACAAGAUAUAGAGUUCAUGAACUGGAUUGAAUAUGAAUAAGAGCAAUCCAUAAAAAUAAAUUCAUGUUCUGAAACCAUAUUAAAUAAUAAACAAAAAUUGAAAGAAGCAAGAGAAAAAAAAAGCCAAAAAGCAAAAAAAUAAAAAUAAAAAAACUGAAGGUGAGAGAAGCUGAAAAAAAAAAAGAGAAAGAGGGUUGAAAAAGUGUGCAACUCACAAAUUAUUUAAUUCAUCAUCAAUAAUUCCCCCAUAUAACAACUAACAAUUAGGCCAAAGACCUACACAAAUAAAACUAAAGUCUAAAAUAAAAUAAUAUCAAGUUUAAUAACAAAACCCAACUAAAAAUAAUAAGUUAAACUUAAAAACAAAAAUAUAAACUAAAGCCCAAUAUCCUAAUAAGUUAGGCUACCCUCUAGCAUUGAUGAUCAUAUACGAGUGCAAAUUGUAUCUCGAAUCUGAUGUUGCUAUCAAUUGGGAUGAUGAUUUAACCAUAUGUUUUGUAAAAUAGUUUUCUCUGACAAAUAUAUCAGGAUUGGCUUGAAUGACCUAUAUAAAGUUGAAACUUUUUGAGAAUAUGCUUCUUUUAUUUAGUAUGAAAUCAAUUUUAAGUUUAUAGAGAUUGUUUACCUUCUCAAUGUUUUGUAAUCCAAUUGAUGGACAAUCGAAGAAAGGAACCAGCAAUUUCAAAUUGCGUGAAUGGGGAAUGAAGAUUGAAUAUAGACUUCAUCAACGUUCACGGGAAUGAAGAUUGAAUAUAGACUUCAUCAACGAUGUAGCACAUCAUGGAAUAAUUUGAGAUGAGGAUUUGAUUGAAUAUAGUUUCAGAUCACAGCAUAAUCCCUAAAAAUCCACGAAAAUUACACCUCAUAACAAGAAACAAAACUCUAAUUUGUUUCAUUUUGUUUGUUUCCGGACAUCUUCCCAAGAAACACGCAGAGAACGCAAUUAAAGAGGGAGAAUAAUAAGGAAGGUACCUGUCUUUGCCUGAGAAGGAGAAAACCCUUAAAAGCUCUAUGACCCCACUUACAGCCAAUUUCAAAAUCUGUGGGGUUUUAGUUCUAGUUUGGCUGUUAUUUUCAUUAUCUGUUGCUCCCGAGCAGCAUCUAAUUCGAUGAAUUCUCUGCAAAAUUAAUGCUAGUAAAUUGGCUAGAAAGAAGAGAGAAAUUCAACUUGAAAAUUGAAACUUCGACAGAAUGAAUAAUUUGGAGGGCGGGUCCCUUGCUUUGUUACCUUAAAAGUCAUUAAGGUUGUUGGAUUCAGAGAGCAUAUUCCCGCCAUUUUUGUAACAGACAUGGAAUGGAAUCAGUUAGUCAGUCCAUGUAUGUGUGUCAUUUCUCUGGUACUGGUAGCCGCUAAUGAUCUGCCUCGUCAAGGAUUUUUGCUUAGCUUAGCUUUUCUUUCGGGUAGUGUUGGGGAGGAUGAAAGUUAUUAAUUUUUAAAGUAUUUUUUUAUUUGAAAAUAGAUAAAAAUAUUAAUUUUUUUAUAAAAAAUUAUUUUUUACAUCAACCCAUCAAAAUAAUUUAAAAUUUUAAAAAUAUUAUUUUCAAUCAAAAAUAUUUUUUUAAAAUACAUAAAAUAUAAUUUCAAUCACAAAAAUAAACACCCAUCUACUCCAAUCUAAUUCUAACAUGUUCCUCCAACUUUUAUAUGUUAAUUUUGAACAAUGUUAAAUGUGUGUAUUAAAAUAUAUUUUCUUAAUAUGUUUCUUUGAAAUGUAUUUUUUUCAAGAAUAACAAAUCUACUCCCAUAUCCCAUCUAUCGAUUUAUUUCUCUAAUAUAAUUGAUGAAUUUAUAUAAGAUUCUUUAAAAAAAAUUACUAAAAUAAAAACAUACUGAAAUAACUGAAUCAAGAUAUUUUAAAAGGAAGAAUAUAAUUUUUUUUAAGUGUUUUUUUUUUUUUAAAAUAAAUGAAUCAAUCAAUCGAUACAAACGAGGAAAAAGAAAGUGACAGUGGAGUGGUAUAAUGGAUCAUUUUCACAGUUAGCCGCAGUCUAAGCCGAAAAAACAAAUUGGGCCUGCUUCUUGAAAUAGAUUUUUCUACAUGGGCUUGAAACGCAGACAAAUGUAUCGAUUGAUUGAUUCAUUUAUUCCUUAUAUAUACUCUUAUUAAUGACCAAUAAUUAGUCAAAUUGAAAAAAAUUCAAUUAAUGAGGAAAACAUUAGAAAAAACAAAGAAAACGAUUGUCGGAUAUGAUAUUUAUAACAUAAGUUUAUUUUGAUCUAAGUUUAUUUUGACCUAAAUAUUUAUUUUUCUAUAUUUUUCAGUACUUGGAUGAGAAACUUAUUAAAAAAUAGCAUUAAAAAAAAUUGUUGAUUAAAAGUGAUUUCAAUGACAAAAAAAAUAUUGGUAUCGAUGUUAAGGGUAUUUUCAUCAAAAUAAAAAAUGGUUAAAAUUUCAAAAUAUAUUAUUAUUUUUUUAAAUAAUUGUAACAAAAUACAUAAUCUAAAUAUGUGUACCAAACCAAAUUAACAAUUAAAGAUACAAAUAUUGAAUUCUUUGUCUUUUUUCUUCAUCCUUCUUUAAUGUUGGGAUUUUUGUAUUUUUUUUUAGAUUUUUUAAUUUAAUCAUUGGGUUUAUUUUGAACCUGUAUUCUUGAUAUGUUUCAAUUUGAUUUAUAUAAGAUGACCUCAUUUAAACAUCUUUAUAUUUGCUAUUCAUUUGAUUUAUAAGACUUCCCGUUAAAGAAAGAAAGUAUAACCAACCAACCUGCAAUUAAAGUAGGUCAUCAUGAAUCACACUAUAAUUGACCACAUCUAUAAAUUUAUUAAAAGAAAAUAUGAUCCCCACAAAAAAAACACACACACACACACACAAAAUAUAUAUAUUAACUAAUACUCGAAAGUAUUGUAGCUUUCCUUAUUUUUUUUUUCAUUUUUUUAUCUUAUCUUUCUUUCUUUUUCUUUUUGUUUUUUUUUGUUUUUCCCCACAUUUUUUUUCUUUUUUUUUGGGUUUUGCAUGUUUUUUUUUUGUUUUUUUUCCCAAUACUGUCUUCUUCUUUUUUUGUUUUUUUUUUUAAAUUUUUUUUUGUGUUUUUUUUUUAAAUUAUCUUUGUUGAUUUUUUUUUAAUAUUGAACUAGUUAAGAAUUUAGUUCUGUAAUUUUUUUCUUUAAAACAUUAUGGAUUACUACAAUAUUUUUCUAUAUGGUUUUUUUUCUUUUUUUUUUCUUUUUUUUUCCAAAAUAGUCUUUGUCGAUUUUAUUUUUCAUAUUGAACUAGUUGAGAAUUUUGCUUCAUAGUUUUUUUCUUUAAAACAUUGUGGAUUGUUACAAUGUUUCCCCACAUGGUUUUUGUUUUGCUACAAUGUUUCCCCACAUGUUUUUUUCCAAAAUUAUCUUUGUCGAAUUUUUUUUAAAUAUUGAGCUGGUUGAGAAUUUGGUUUUAACUUUUCCCACAUGUUUUUUUUCUGUUUUUUUUUCAUUUUUUUGUUUUUUUCCCAAAAUUGUCUUCUUCUUUUUUCAUUUUUUUGUUUUUUUUUAGAAUUGUUUUUGUUGAUUUUAUUUUUUUAAUAUGGAGCUGAUUGAGAAUUUAGCUUUGUAGUUUUUUUUUUUAAAACACCAUGGAUUGCUACAGUGUUUCCCCACAUGGUUUUUUUUUUCUUUUUUAUGAUUUUUUUUUCCAUAAUUAUCUUUGUCGAUUUUUUUUUUCAUAUUGAGCUGGUUGAGAAUUUAGCUUCAUAGUUUUUUUCUUUAAAACACUGUGGAUUGCUACAGUGUUCUCACACAUGAUUUUUUUCAAAAUUAUCUUUAUCGAUUUUAUUAUUUUUAAUAUUGAGCUGGUUAAGAAUUACAACUGUAGAUUUUCUCAUUAAACAUUAUAGACUGCUACAGUGUUUUCCUGCCUGUUUUUUUUUCCUUUUAUUUUUUUUGUUAUGAUUUUUUUUAAAAUUUUUUUGAUUUUAUUUUUUUAAUAUUAAACUGGUUAAGAAUUUAGUUUUAUAGCUUUUUUAAAAAAAAUAUUAUAGAUGGCAACAAGUUUUUUUUUCUAUAUAUAUAUAUAUAUAUAUUUAUAAAUUUAUGAUAAUGUAUAAAUAUGCUAUAAGCCCGUGACAUUGCACGGGCAUGACAUGUAAGUAUAUAAUUAUUACCUGUUUGUGGUAGAAAAAGACACGGAAAACAACAGCCCACAUGUCGGGUGUGAGAAUAGAUAGAUUGAACAUUGUGGCUCCGCUUAACUGUAUACAUUAUGAUUUCAUCACAACACGUUUUUCAUAAAUGGGUCCACAGCACGUUUUUCAUCACAACACGUUUUUCAACAGCCCACAUGUUGUUAAAGAGAAAUGUAAAACAAUUCUUGAAAUCUUAAAACGAUUCUUUGUUAAGCCCACAGAUUAAUUCAAUUCGUUAAAUUCUUUGUUUCUCUACUUAUAUAAUUAAAGAUAGAUAUAUUACAGAUUUAUAUUUUCGUUAAUUUUAGAGUUUGGAAAUUAAUCGAGAUAUACGCAAGGUAGCCCGAACACCUAUAUUAAUAAUAAUAAUAAAAAAAAUAUACUGAAUUCUGUCUUUUUUUUUCCAUCCUUCUUGGAUGUUGGGAUUUUUAUAUUUUUUUUUAAUUUAUCAUUCGAUUUAUUUAAUUUUGAACCCAUAUUCGUAAUAUGUUUCAAUUUGAUUCGUAAUAUGAUCUCGUAUGAACAUCUUUAAUUAGCAUUUGCUAUUUUAUAUGACUUUCUGAGAAUCCACACCGGAAUCUGUGGCUAAUGAAGGGGAGCAUACUAACCCAAUGAGCACGAUAAACGUGUUAUUGGUUGGUGAAGCUUUCAUGGCAUAUACAGAGAGGCCUCCAAUGCGACAUUUCAUGACAUUUCAUUUUGUGGCAUAUACAGAGAUGCAUGUUCAUGAUGCAUCUACUCCAUGAGCAUGAUUAACAGGUUAUUGGCUGGUGAAGCUUUAAUGGCAUCAUGCUGUGGAUGUGGCUGAUGAAGGGGAGCGUACUAACUACUGAAUUUCCAAGUACUUGAUGAUGCAUCUACUCUAUUAAUUAGCAAGUUCAAACCCAAUGAGCACGAUAAACGUGUUAUUGGUUGGUGAAGCUUUCAUGGCAUAUACAGAGAGGCCUCCAAUGCGACAGUCUGACAUUUCAUGACGGAUUCAUUGUAGAAGAAAAGAAAAGAAAAGAAAGGUUGUCUCGGACCAUUCAACCACGAUAAAAAAAAAACUACAAAGCUGUCAAAUUCAGGAAUGUGAACGCAAAGAAAACCUCAAUAAAGCUGCACUGGAAAAAAGGAAAAAGAAAAAACCAAAAUUAACGUGAUUGGCUGUGAUACGUUCCGUCCACUUGACUAAAGAAAAACCAAAGAGAACAUGACUUCCCUGAGACCCCAUGGCACAAUCUGGGGCCAAGGGAGUUCACCAACUGUUGAAUCUCCAUGUUCAUGAUGCAUCUACUCCAUGAGCAUGAUUAACAGGUUAUUGGCUGGUGAAGCUUUAAUGGCAUCAUGCUGUGGAUGUGGCUAAUGAAGGGGAGCGUACUAACUACUGAAUUUCCAAGUACUUGAUGAUGCAUCUACUCUAUUAAUUAGCAAGUUCAAACCCAAUGAGCACGAUAAACGUGUUAUUGGUUGGUGAAGCUUUCAUGGCAUAUACAGAGAGGCCUCCAAUGCGACAGUCUGACAUUUCAUGACGGAUUCAUUGUAGAAGAAAAGAAAAGAAAAGAAAGGUUGUCUCGGACCAUUCAACCACGAUAAAAAAAAAAACUACGAAGCUGUCAAAUUCAGGAAUGUGAACGCAAAGAAAACCUCAAUAAAGCUGCACUGGAAAAAAGGAAAAAGAAAAACCAAAAUUAACGUGAUUGGCUGUGAUACGUUCCGUCCACUUGACUAAAGAAAAACCAAAGAGAACAUGACUUCCCUGAGACCCCAUGGCACAAUCUGGGGCCAAGGGAGUUCACCAACUGUUGAAUCUCCAUGUUCAUGAUGCAUCUACUCCAUGAGCAUGAUUAACAGGUUAUUGGCUGGUGAAGCUUUAAUGGCAUCAUGCUGUGGAUGUGCUUUGAAGUAACAAGAAGCAAUUAACACGACAAGUUGUGACAUUUCUUGACUGAUUCAACACUAGCUAGUGAUCUAUUCAACUUUUCUAAUUAAGCACAAAAACAACUUCCAACAGAUCCACACAUGAUAUCACAGGCAUCGGAAAUUUUAUACUGCCAAGAGAGUAACCAAUAAUAUCUUAUUAUUUAUUUUUUAGAUUUAUUUUAAAGAAAAAAUAGAUAUAAGUAGAAGAGAUGAUUAAUCCUAAGUGUAGAUAUACAUGCAUAGAACAAUUUUCGAUCCACUGUCUUAACAUGUCAUAAGACUAUUAUCCUUCCGACAUUAAUAGCUACAUCCAAUAAUCACCAAUAGAUCCUUGUAAAAACCAAACCAUCCCAACUGUUAAGAACAACUAAUUUUGAAACUUGAAAAUAAAAAACUUGACGAGGAAGAAGUUGGUUUCCUCAAAAUAAUAGAAGCCAAAGACGAGAAGAUUUUAACGAAAUAACACAGCUGAUACCCUUUUUUAAUAUAGUUGGAUUUACCUCAUUAAAAUCUUUUUUAUGAUAUCAAAAUUAUCAUCAUCAGAGCUUGAGCUUUAACGUGAUUUCAAGAUCUCAUUCAUUCUUUGUUUCUUUUCUCUCUCCUCUCUUCUUCUUAUAUUGUCGUCAUCAGUUACAUUUUCAACAACAAUAUUUACCAAACCAUGAUAUUUCAUUAAAACUUUUUCUAACUAUGUUUUUUGCCAACAAUAUUUUCAAACAAUGCUAAUUUGUUUUUUUAAAAAAAAAAAACUGCAUAUUGGCAAUAUUGGCCAAAUAACACAGGUGGAAUUGUUUUUAGUUAAAUAGCACUAUUUGGUAUUUAUCACAUCUCUCUCCCAAAUUUAAAGAAGUCAAGUGUAAUAGUCGACGCAACACGUACCAAACCCUUAGCUAAAUCUAAAUUUAAACCCUGAACAAUACCCUAACAAGCCCCUAACCUUGACUAACCUGAAACCCUAAAUCAUAAAAACUAACCCUAAUUCAAACUCUAAUCUUAAUUAAACCUUAACCAUAAGCCAUAAAAAACUAACCCUAAUUCAAACUCUAAUCUUAAUUAAACCUUAACCAUAAGCCAUAAAAAACUUAUCCUAAUCCAAACCCCAAACCUUAUCCCUAAUCAUAACCCUACACUAAGUCUAACUCUAAUCCAAAUAAUAAACACUAGCUCUAAAAUUCAAACCUUAAAUUCCAAACCCUAAAUCCAAAAUUCAAACCCCUAGCCCUAUAAAUUAACCACAAGUCCUAACCCCAAACCUUAAAAUGAAAUCUUUAAAUUCUUUAAGUGAUUAUACAAAUACUCCAAUAUAGUCUAUUUUCUUUUCAAGCAACUUAUUUUCUUUUCUUGUAAGUUGGUCUAUUGUUACAAGUAUAAUGGUAAUUGGUUUUGGUAAUAAUGCAACAUGCAAUGUUCACUUGUAAAUGCCUAAAUAAAUUCUAGACAAUCUAAAUAUAAAAAUUCAAAAAAUAAUCAAUAAUCAAAAUUUCUCAAACAGGAAAGCCUACAACAAUAUUAAUAUUGCAACUACGCUCCACCCUACUGUCUUCAUUAACGUGUCCACCUGUAAAAUUUUGAUUUGAAAUUCUACUUCUCUAAAAUAAAUUUAAAUAUUCAAAUAUUCAAAUUAUGAUUAUAAGGUUCAGGAGUCGCCACCUUGUGUUAUGAUCACUAGGAAACCUAAUGGUCUGUGAAAGUCCGAGUAAGGAAUUGGUUGUGCAAGGAAAAAACGCAACACCCCUAGUGCACCAUACUUAAGGUAAACUUUAUUGUUGUUUGAUUAUUUUUUAGGUCAUGUUUAUAUCCAUUGGUCUUAUCUAAAGUUCAAGGUAGAUUUCUCUUCGUGAGCAAGUCUCUAUCUUAUUGGGGUAAACUAAUUAUAAUGAGAUUUUUUUGUAUUUUUAUCAAACCUUAAUAUAUAAUCAUAAAACAUUUAGGAUAUCCAUGUUUGUAUUUUUAAAAAAAACAUGAUAAAAAUGUGAUUUAUUUUUUAGAAAAUAUGCAUGAAAAACCUUUAGGAUUUGACUGUAAACACAAAAACAAAACCUAUUUUUUAUGUUUUUGGAAAGAGGAAAUUAAUUAAAUUAUUUUUUUGAAUUUUUUUGAAUUUUUGAAUUUGUUUGAAAGAAAACUUUCACAGAAAAUCAGGUAUUUUUAAUACUGGAAGUGUAAGUCUACAACUUGAUAUUAUGCAAAAUACUUGGGAAAACAUGCGAGGGGUCCACAAAUAUUUUUAAAAUACCCUUUGGAAAAUUUGAAUUUUUUUCUCUCUUUUAUUAAAUACUUCUUUUAAUAUUUUAAUAUUAUUGUAUUAUUGUAUUAUUUAUUUAUUAAAUAGGCUAGACUCAGACCAACCAUCUAAGCUAACUGAAAUGGUUCCAGCCUGACUAGCAGCCCAACAACAUUUCUCUCUCUCUCUUUGUUUUUUUUUUUUGGCUGGACCAGGGUCAAUCAUCUAGGCUGGGAUGAAACAGGUCCAGCCCAGGACCAUAUGGUCGCUAGCCCAACCUAGCAACUAUGUCAAUUAAUUUGCCUUCUGUAUACAGAAUGUAUUCUCGUUUUGCAUGCAGUGGCUGGUCUUGUAGCAGGGGGAGAAGAGUUUUACCUAGAGUGGGGGGUCAUGGCGGUGGUCCUGCUGGUGGAAGAAAGGUUGGUGAUGGAAAGGAGAAAAAAAAUCUGCAGUGGUUAUUCCGUAAGUGGAGGUGGUCGGUUGGUGGUCGUGCUGACGAAUCGUGGUAGAGCUAUCGGUGAAGAAGCCAACAACAAGGUGGUUGGUGGCUGUAUAAGUUGAGGUCGUGGUGGUAGAGAAGGAGAAAAACGAUAAUGGCACAAAAAACCGGGGGGAAGCUGAUUUCUUCCCAACUUUGGCCUCUGAUUUCUUCUUACUCAAUACCAGGAAUUCACCCCUAUUUAUAGAGGGUGGAAGAUGGAUAUUUUGUCUUUAUUGGAGACAAAUCUUGGCCCUUGAUUUCAACAAGAAGGAUCCCAAUAGUUAGUUCAAAGUUGUCGUCAUGGCUUAAAAAAGUUGGCAGUUGAAGGUUUUCUAAGUUGGCCUUUUUGGGGCAGUGCCUCAGUGGCCGUAAGAGUAGUUGGCCGACGAGAUCUACUCUAGAGUAUAGUACAAUAUCAGGCCAUUAUGGUGGCGUAUGGUUUAUUUUGUUUAGUUAAGAGAUGAAACAUUAAAUGUCAUUGAAAAGUAGUAACCCGAACAACUUUUUUAGGCAAAAAGAAGAAGAAGAUGAACAAUAACCACACGACAAGUUAUCUGGUUUUUUCCUUUUUUUUGUACCGUUUUCAAAACGAUGUCGUUUUUGGCUUUAGGGUGCUAAUAUAGGAAUUUGGUCAAACUUUAAUUUGGUCAUCUGACUUUUUAUUCCUUUCAAUUGCACCCCUAAUUGACUUGAAACUUUUAAUUUUAUACAAUUUUCCCCUUGCAGAACUCUAACAUCAGCCUUGAAUUUUAGCGCCUUUAAUAUUUUGAUACUUGGUUUUGAAUUUAUGCAAAUUGACCCUCAAUUGACCAUUAAACUUUCAAAUCUCUUAAAUUUCACCCCUUAUUUCAAUCAAUUUAGUCUCUAGAGUUCGGUAUUUUUUUCAAAAAGGUCAUUGGCUAUAAAUUUCUUCAAUUUAACCCUUAAUUAACCUUAAACUUCUAAUUCUCUUGCAAUUUUACCCCUGAUUUGAACCAAUUAACUUUAUAAAAAUUUAGUUUGGUCCUUUAAAAUUACAAUCUUCUCAAUUAAGCCCAAACUGGGGCCCCAAACUUAUUUUUCACCAAUUAAGUCCCUCAUAAAACUUAUUUGACCCAUUUAAAGUAUAAAUAAGUUUUUGAAUUUAAUUAAAUCCUUUAAUUUGACCCAGAUUAAUUCUUAAGCAUAAUUAAAUUUUUAGUUUGGCUCAUGAUUAAAUCAAAUUGUCCUAUUAUAAAUCUAAUUAUGUCAUUAGGCUUAAUUUUUAUGUAGAUUUGUCCAAUAAUGAUUUAAUUUGACCUUAAAUUUGUAUUGUUUCUCCAGUUCUGGGUACAAUGGGGAACAAUUAAGCCCCCAAUUCCAUCCAAAAUUGCAACUUGUUUUUUUGUUUAGUGUUAAUUUUUAUGUAGAUUCGUCCAAUAAUGAUUUAAUUUGACCUUAAAUUUGUAUUGUCUCUCCAGUUUUGGGAACAAUGGGGAACAAUUAAGCCCCAAAUUUCAUCCAAAAUUGCAACUUGAUUUUUUAUAUAUUUGGAAUCCUCCCAGCUUGCUUUUGCCAAAAAAUCAGUCUUCUUGCUAUUAUUUUUUAUUUUUUUUAUGGGAAGGAAAAAAAGAUAAAAUUUGAUGAAUAACUCAAAAAUAGGUUAUGAUAGCUAGGAUCCUUCCCACUUGAAUCAAGGGCCAAGAUUUAUCCCUAAUAAAGAUAAAAAGUCCCUCUUCCACCCCUUAUAAAUAGGAGUGGAUUCCGGAUAUUAAGCAAGAAGAAAUCAGUGUUCAAAAUUAGCCAAAAAUUAGUCUUCUCCUCAUUCUCUUUUCUACCAUUACGUUUUUCUUCUCCUCCACUGUGCCCUCAGCCACGAUGACCUUGUUGUCAGUUCUUCUACUAACAACUCCACCACGAGCCGCCAGCACAACCACCAGCCGGCCACCCCCACGUCAAGAAUAGCCACUGCCAGCUCCUUCUUCCUCUCCACCAUGAUUUUCUCCUCUAGUAACUAACACUAAUCACCAAAUCCUCUACCAACACCGCCACCAACCUCAUGUCAAGCUCCCAAACACGACCAGUCAAUCACUCCCUCCUGCAUCCGGUAAUUCUCUCCUCUUCUUUACUGCUCCCCUUACUGCAACCAUAGCCAUUACAUGCAGAAGGAGAAUUUGUUUUGCAUUCAAGGCAUUUAUAAUUAACAUGGUCAUUGGGCUGGGCCAGUGACCAUGCAAUGAUGGGCUGAACCCGUUUCAUCCUUGCAACCGGGUCCAUCCCAACAUAAACAAAAAAAGGGAAAAUAUUUGUUAAGUUGUCAAUCGACCCAACCCGACCAGACUGGGUUUGGCCUAGAUGGCCAAAUCUAACCCACUUAAUAAAUAAAUAAUAUAAUAAUAUUUAACUAUUAAAAAAAUAAUAAAUAAAUAAAUUUUCUAAAAAGCAUUUUAAAAAUGUUUAUGGGUCCUUUACAUUUUUUUUCAAUUAUUUUGCAUAAUAUCAGGCUAUAGACUUACAUUGUAAAAUAUAGACUUAGUAUUGAAAAUACCUGGUUUUCUCUAAAAAAAUUUAAUUUUUUUUGAAAAAUAAAAAAAAUAAAUUAAUUCCCUCUUUCCAAAAACACCAAAAUAUAUGUUUUGUCUUUGUGCAUAUGGCCAAGGCCAAAUCCUAAAAGUUUUUCAUGCAUAUUUUCUAAAUAGAGAUAAAAUCAUUUUUAUCAUGUUUUUUAAAAAAUACAAAUUGGAUAUCGUAAUCAAUUUAUGAUUAUUCAUUAAGGUUUGAUCAAAAUACUAAAAACCCCAUUAUAAUUAGUUUGUCAUUCGGAAUGCUAGGACUUAGCUAUAUCUAAGAAAGAAAUAAGUCUGACCCUUAGAAUAGUUAGGAUUUAACCAAAUAAAAUAGAGACUUUCUCAUGGAGAGAGAUCUACCUUGAAUCUUAGAAAAUACCAACAGAUAGAAACAUAACCUAGAAAAAUAAUCAAAUAACAAUGCAGUUUAUCUUGGGUAGGGUGCACUAGGGGUGAUGCAUCUUCGCCUUGCACAACUAGUUUUUUACCUAGACUCUCGCAGACCAUUAGGUAUUUUAGUGACCAUAAAACUAGGUGGCAACUUCUAAACUUCAUAAUUAUAAUUUUAUGAUUAAAUCUAAAACCUUUUUUCAACACCUCAGAGGCAGAUCAGCCAUUUGACGUCGUGCACAUCAUGACAAUGACUAUUGGUUGAUUUCACCACAGUUAAUCAAUUUUAGCCUUUUUUUUGUCUGUUAAUGAAUAACUACUAGUCUUACUUAGUCUACAUAUGGAUGCUUAUUUUUUCAUUUAGAAAAAUAACCCUAUACUUUUUUAGUUAGGAUAAAUGAAGAAACAUUGAUCUAUCUUUUAUGCUUAAAUUAAUUGAUAAAUUGACUAUUACACUAUGUGGUUAGGUUGUUCUUGUAAUAGAUCAAGCUUAGUCUUAUCUUGUAAUGAUUGUGUUCAUGAUCGAUCAUCAACACAACUUGUUAAUAUUCUAACAAGUGUUUAUCAUUGCUGAUUGUUAUCAAAUGACUAUUCUUUUAUGAUUCCAAAACUUAUUCUCUUUGUAAGAUGUAUUGUUUAGUAUCAUCCUUUAAUACUAGCAUGUUCACAUGCCACAUCCUUCUGAAUUGGGUCUUGGUUUGUAGACCUCUUUGCCAUCUUUUUUCAAGUAUAUGAGAAGUUUUCAUCUCUAAACUAUUUUUUAACCUCAUCGUUGUGAUUUGAUGACUUCUUUUGUGGCUUAUGCAUAUGUAAGGCCCAAAUUUUUGGCCCAAACGCAAGCUCAAGUCAGCCUAAAUCCAACUUAAGUUAACCUAGGUUUAUAAGAGAAAGUUGUAAGAGAAUUGUUUUUCUCUCUUCUAAUUCUUGUGGCUAUCAUGACCCUCCCCUCAUCAAACCAAGAAUUUUAGUUUUUGAUCUUGAGUUUUUGGGUUUAAGAAAGGUGGAAGUAGCAAGUACGUGGUUCUUUCUCAUGUUUCUUCCCAGUAUGGUUUAUUUAUGGAAGGAUUAAAGAAGAGAUUAUGGUUGAUAAAGAUUUGAAGUUUAUGUUGUUAAGAUUGAUCCAUGAUUUUUAUGGGUUUAAGGUUAAGUGAUUGAUUUAGGGUGUGUUGUUAGAAAUAAGAAUUUGUAAAUUGAUUUGUUAUGGGUUAAGAAAUUCAUUUCAACUUUGCUGAAGAUCUGGACAGAAUAGUGUUUAGGUUGAAGAUGGUAAAAUGCUAUUUUAGUCCUUGAUUUAUGAAAAUUACAUUUUAAUCCCUAAACUUUGAAAAAUUAUAAUUUGACAUAGAAAUGUAUUUCGGGAUUCUAGGCAGUGUUAUUAUAAGGUUAAGGAUGAUGAAUCUCAGUUUUGAGACUUAGCGUAGGUGGAGUGUUUUUUCAAUAUCGCUUCUGUAUUAUCGGUCAUGGACCCAGGAUUCGAGUUAUGACAACUUGUAUCAUUCUUUGUUAGAAAUUGUUUUAGGCCCGAAGGUCUUUGACUCUCACUAUAUGCCAAUCUGUUGAGCUUUGUCCCCUAAUUCUUCUCCCAUAGGUAAAAUUGUAUGAUAAGUGGAAUUCUUGUAUACUUUAGAAAGAGUUUUAUCGUAACUUUUUUUGUGCUAAAAUUUUGACCUUACCAUGAUCGUUAACAUAUAGUAGCAUUAACAACUAACUCCAUCUUUUUUAUGGUCAAUAAAGCCGAGUUUUUGGUAUUUCUCUUUUAGAAGAAGUCCUCUUGAUUUAGGUGCAACUAUUAUUGUUGUUAUCUUAGAGAAAGAGUCUAAUUAUUUAUUAUUUUUAUCAUCCAUUGUGGUCUUUUUUGUUUCUUUUCCAAUAGGGUUGUUAGCCUCUUUGGGACUGCUAUUAGUUGCCCCUGAACUUGUUCAAACACCUCAUCAAAUUAAUUAAGUACUCUAUAUCACCCAUUGAUUGAUCCAUCAUGACCUUGUUGAAGUAGCCAACAACAGGUCUUUGAGAUAUAUAAAAAUUGCCUUGUUGGAAGAUAGCUUGCGGGUGUUGAACUGCCAAUUAUAGUUUAUGUUGAUUGUAGAUACAUGUGACUGGCUUAGGGCUGCAUAUACACUUGUGGGAUAGGUUGCACCUCUUGUGAUCAAUUUUUUUCAAAUAAGGCUAGGCUUGUUAUGGUAUGUGAUAUCCAGAUUAAGAUUAAGUACUCUCAAAUAUUCUAAUUAGAGUGCUAAUUACUAUACAAUAUCAUGAACUUACCCUCCCCAUGACCCAACUUGAGUUUAAUAACUAAUAAGAAUAGCCAUGAGCUGUGUGAGAGGCAUGAAAAUACCAACAUACUCACGGCUAGUUUGCAACAUUGAGAAAAAUAUCAUAAUUAUUGAGUAAUGGAAAAAAUUAAAUAUUAUCGUAAUAGGUAUGUCAGUUUGUUGAUUAAUCACAUAAGUUUUUGGAUCAAUCCUUCCUUUACCUAUCUAUAUUGUUCUUCAUUAAUCCAUGUGGAUUUUUUUUUUUGAUGUAAACACAAUCAUAUUAUCAAUUGUACAUCAAAUAAAAAACUCCCAUGAUAUUACAAUUUGAGAGCUGCCUUCUUGCGCUCAAAGUCGGUUAAAAAGUUGCGUCAUGAAUCUGUGGACAAGUCAAAUCUGGAACGAUGAGCCACAAUAUGUACAGUACUUGCCAAUCAACAGGGAGAGCUCACAAUGUCAUACGGAGUCCUAUGAUUUGGAAAGGUAGAAUAAAGAUUACCGAUAAAUUACGGAUAAAUUACGCAAUUAGCAUAUAAAAUACAAAUAAAUAGUAAAAUAAUGCAAAUUUUUUUUUGAUAGAAUAAUACAGUGCAAGGAUAUCAUUAUUCAAAAACAAGACAUUUAAAUAAAUUUUUAAUAGGUGUUUAUAGAGAGAAAUUGAGGAUGUGGGUCAGUUUUUGAAGAGAGAGAAGGGCAACGUUUAUGUGUUGUUCUUUGAUUUAGAGAAUUUAAAUUUUAAUUAAUGUAGCUUUUUAAAUAUAAUAUCUUAAGUUGUUGUGUUUUAAAUUGUGAUAUUUAACUAUGUUGUACUUUCUAAUACCAAUAUUUAUUAAAUGAUAUAUUAUUGUUGUACAAUAUGAUUAAACUAUGUUAUUUCAUUAAUUUGUUUUGAAAUGGUAUUAUUCUAUGAAUUUUUUAUGUUAGAUGUGUUGAUUUUUUUAAAAAAAACAAACAAAGAUUAUUUAGAAAUUCCAGAAUGAAAGGUCCUAUACCUUGCCAUUCCAAUUAAUUUAGAGAGCCCGCGAUUAAUGCAGUCUCUUACAUUAUUUAUUGACCGAUUCAAUUAAAGGAGAAAACGCUGAAGCAGGAGAUUAAAAAAAAAAUUCUUGGUUUUUUUUAUUAUUUAAUUUAGAAAAUAAUUUUAAUUUUUUGGUCUGUUUACUACUUUUACUUUAUUUUCAGGUUUAUAUAUAUAUAAAACACGAAAACAACUUAUUGAAUUAGUACAAAAUCAUGGAUGAAAAAAUCGAUAGUUAGAAUGAACAAAUAAAAUAAGUAAACUUAACAGACAAAUUUAAAUAAUUAAAAAUCAGCAUGAAUUUUGACAAUAUCCUACAAAAUUACUAGUAUGAACAACUGAAGGUUUUGAACGAAUGAGCCUGCAAUUAUGCAUAGUUAGAAAUUAUAAAACUUGGAAAUGAAUUUUCCCAGUAUUUACCAAAUCUUCCACCCAAUAGAAACUGAUGUCACAGUUGUUGACGUAUAUCAAAUUCUGUAAUAUAAGAACAAAGAUGAAUAGGAAAUUUCACAAUUAAAAAUUCCAAUAAAUAUUCCAUUUCUUUUUUUCUAUAAAUACCUAUCAUUGGAGCCUAGGAUCUUCAUCUGCCAUAGGAAACCAUAUCCCUUAGACAUGAUGUCCUUGCUACAGAAACCAUUCUCAAUGUUUCUCCAAGUCCUUUUUUUUCUCCUUCUAAUUUGCAUUCCUUCUUUCUUUGCCUUUCCUCCUAAAUCCUCUGCAACUUCAUUUGGUGCUGCCAAAUAUGUUGCUGCUGAAGGUAAUAAAGAAGCGGAGGCUCUCCUAAAAUGGAAAGCAAGUCUUGACGACAAGCACAGCCAAUCUGUCCUGUCUUCUUGGGUUGGUAGCAGCCCUUGCAAGUGGCUUGGAAUCACUUGUGACAAUUCUGGAAGUGUCGCGGAUUUCAGCCUUCCAAAUUUCGGUCUGAGAGGUACACUUCAUGGUUUCAACUUCUCAUCCUUCCCCAAUCUUCUCACUCUCAAUCUCAGGAACAAUUCACUCUAUGGAACUAUUCCAUCCCACAUUAGUAACCUGACCAAAAUCACCAAUUUAAACUUGUGUGAUAAUCAUUUCACAGGAAAUAUUCCACUUGAGAUAGGAUUGUUGACAAGUCUUAACUUUUUGUACCUUCAUAAAAAUAAUCUCACUGGUUUGAUCCCAGCUUCUAUUGGAACUUUGAAACACCUAUCCAUUCUCUAUCUAUGGUGGAACAAACUCUCUGGUUCUAUUCCUUCUUCUAUUGGGAACAUGACUAUGCUCACUCGACUUGAUCUGAGCACAAAUAAUUUGUCUGCAUCUGUUCCUCCGGAAAUAGGACAACUCGAAUCCCUUGUUGAAUUGAGCUUGUCCUUUAAUAAUCUCCAUGGUUCUCUGCCCCCGGAGAUGAAUAAUCUCACACAUUUGAAGAUUUUGCAAUUGUUUACAAACAAUUUCACUGGCCAUUUACCACGAAACUUGUGCCUUGGUGGGUUACUUGUAAAUUUUUCAGCUGGCUACAAUCAUUUUUCUGGUCCAAUCCCUAAAAGCUUGCGAAAUUGUACUAGUCUUUUUAGAUUUAGGCUUGACUGGAACCAAUUGACAGGGAAUAUUUCUGAAGAUUUUCGCCUCUACCCAAACUUGAACUAUGUGGACCUAAGUCACAAUAAUUUGUAUGGUGAGCUGACGUGGAAAUGGGGAGGUUUUCACAACUUGGCGAGCCUAAAAUUGUCAAACAAUAAUAUCUCCGGUGAGAUACCAUCAGAGCUUGGAAAGGCUACUGGGCUACAAAUGAUUGAUCUCUCGUCAAAUCUCCUGAAGGGGACAAUUCCAAAAGAAUUGGGGCAGUUGAAGGCGUUGUUCAACCUUACUCUUCAUAACAACCAUCUUUUUGGUGUCAUUCCCUUUGAGAUCCAAGUGCUAUCUCAACUUCGUGCCCUUAAUUUAGCUUCUAAUAACCUUGGUGGAUCAAUCCCAAAAAAACUGGGACAGUGCUCCAAUUUAUUACAGUUGAACUUGAGUCAUAAUAAGUUCAUAGGGAGCAUCCCAUCUGAGAUAGGCAGCCUACAUUUUCUUGGAGAUCUAGAUCUCAGUGGGAAUCUACUGGCAGGAGAGAUACCAUCACAAGUUGGGCAAUUGAAACAGUUAGAAACAAUGAACCUGUCUCACAACAAACUUUCCGGUUUGAUUCCAACUGCUUUAGUAGAUUUGGUGAGCUUGACGACUGUAGACAUCUCCUACAAUGAACUAGAGGGCCCUAUCCCCAAAAUCAAAGGCUUCAAUGAAGCUCCAUUUGAAGCUUUUAUGAAUAAUAGUGGUCUUUGUGGAAAUGCCAGUGGUUUAAAGCCUUGUACACUUCUUACAAGCAGCAGCAAGGUAGCUAAGAGAAAGAGCAACAAAAUUGUCAUUUUGAUUCUUGUUCCUCUCCUGGGCAGUCUACUUCUACUACUUAUCAUGGUUGGGUGUUUAUACUUUCUCCACCGGAAAAGUAGAGAAAGAAUUUCCUGUUUAGGAGAGCGACAAAGUCCACACAGUUUUGUAGUAUGGGGCCAUGAGGAAGAGAUCCUACAUGAAACUAUCAUCCAGGCCACUAAUAAUUUCAACUUCAAUAACUGCAUUGGGAAAGGGGGAUAUGGAAUUGUUUAUCGAGCCAUGUUGCCAACAGGUCAGGUGGUUGCCGUGAAGAAACUUCACCCAUCAAGAGAGGGCGCGCUUAUGAAUUUGAAAACUUUUAGAAAUGAGAUUCGCAUGUUGAUAGAUAUUCGACAUCGAAAUAUUGUGAAGUUAUAUGGAUUUUGUUCAUUAAUAGAGCACUCUUUUUUAGUUUACGAGUUCAUAGAAAGGGGAAGUUUGAAGAUGAAUUUAUCUAGCGAAGAACAGGCAAUGGGCUUGGAUUGGAAUAGAAGGCUUAAUGUUGUUAAAGGAGUGGCCAACGCAUUAUCCUAUUUGCACCAUGAUUGCUCGCCUCCAAUCAUUCAUCGAGACAUUUCCAGCAGCAAUGUUCUUUUAGAUUUGGAAUACGAGGUUCAUGUUUCGGAUUUUGGGACAGCUCGGCUCUUGAUGCCUGACUCAACCAACUGGACCUCAUUUGCUGGCACCUUCGGAUACACAGCUCCAGGUACAUACUUGAUUUCAUCCUUAACAUAUAUAUAUGUGAAUCAAUUGCAAAAUUUCUGCUCAUAUGUCAUAGACUCAUAAUGUUUUGGAGGCGCUCCAAAACAUUAUGACAUAUUACCAGAACAAUACAAC
rnacentral:lncRNA from 1 species